rnacentral:lncRNA from 1 species
AGAAUGUCCAUGACGCUUGCUCUGCGGAAAUUGGAGCAAUUUUCCGAGCGACAAAUCUGUUGUUGCAAAGGUAUUCGGGAGAAACUUUUCAUAUCUACUCAGAUUCAGCACCCAUCAUCAAAGCCUUGCACCUUAGGAGCUAUCAUUCAGUUUCGUUAACAGAUGAAGCUCGAACAAGAAUCUCGGAUCUCCGAACUUUUCUUGAAAGUUCCAAGCUAUUUAGUUAUGGAUGGUCGUCUAGAUAUUCUAAAAAUGCUGUAGUUGCAGAUCGAUUGGCCAACUGGGGGCUUACUAGCAAAAAACUCUCUUUUUGGUCCUCUGUAGAUGAAUUCUACCAAGUUGUACCUCCCGAUUGAUAAAUAAAUUCGCCUAAGGGCGUGUUUUCCCUCAAAAAAAAAAAAAAGAAAAAGUUUGUAUUAAUUAAUUCUUUGAACAAUUAAAUUCAUUACAUAGAAUUCUAUUUGAACCAAUCCAAAAUCUUACGUAAGAAUCGCUUUUCCACGGUUCCACUUUUAUUUGUUUCUGAACGUGGAAGGAGCCCAACAUUCGCACGCUUUGUAGCGUGCAAGUGAAGUGCAACCACAGAAACUGGGACUAUUCAUAUAUAGGAUGAUUGAGGCCUCUCAUAAUUAGUUCCAUUAACUAAGUAUUGGACCCACAUCAACUCCACUACUUUUAUUUCAUCUUCUAAAUAAGAUCUCAAAGCUUCUAACUCAUCAGAAACCAAUAAGGAAAUAAUUUAUUGCGCGCAGUUACUAUUGUAUUGCAGUUUUAACUUUACACAAAUUUGAAUAUGUUAUUUGGAUUCGUGCAUUUGUAAUUCCAACUGCAACGGUAGGUGAAGACGAAUCACUUCGAUCAAUAAAUAAUAAUAAUAAUAAUAAUAAUAAUAAUUCUCCACACUACCAAAUAAAUUAAUUAUAAUUAUAACCGUUAUAGACCCACAAAACUUAAUAAAAUAAUCAACUAAUAUAUUUUCAAUGCUAUUCAUUUUUUACUAAACUAUGCCUAUAAUUAUUAUAUGGAUAAAUUACAAUUCUGGUCCUCAAAUUAUCGGGCUGGUAAUAUUUUUGUUCUUAAAUUUUCAUUCAUUUUAAUUUUUGACUCGAAUUUUUUAAAUUAUUGCUGUACAAAUCACAACCCAAUUUAUUUUACUAAAUGUUGACAAUACAGUUAUAAUUAAGAUGAUAUACAGUUUAUAUAUACUAGUGGCUCGUCAGAAUUUAACCAACUAAUAGUUUAUAAGACUUAAUUGAUCAUAAUAGUUUAUAAAAUUGAAAAAAAAAAUUAUAAUAAAUUAAAAUUUAAGAACUAAAAGUGCUAUACACGCGCAUGGUGUGUAAUGCUUUGAGGAAAUUUCUUUUUUCGGGUUUCAAUCAAUUGCUCUAACCCACUAGCCAAGUCAAGUAAACAUACUUAUCUCUUGUAAAAAAAGACAAAUUUUAUAGCUAUCAUUGUCAAAGUAAGUACAUAUAUAGAAUUCCUACACUAGGAAAUAUUCACCAACCAAUGAGAUUGGUCACAAAAGGUACCUUACUUAGGAAAAUUAAACCCUCAUCAACCAAUGAUACAGUUUUUCGGUGCCUAAUUACCACAAAUUAAUUAAAAAAAAACAUAUUCUAUAAAUAUAUAGUGCAUAGGAUAUUCUAGAUCGAUCAUGCGUUACGUGUCCGAUUCAAAUAUCCUAAAUCAUCCAGUUUCGAAAUCGAUGUUGUCAAAAUAAGAUUUUAUACUAUCGGUGCAAAUAUAUCUUAUUUACUCAUGAUUUAAAUUUUUAUUCUAACAAUAAUAAAAAUUAACUUAUUUUGAUCAUACCGCGACUGUCCCUAGAGCAAGUGACAAAGGACUUGGUGGUUGGUACCCGAGACCCAAGUUCGAAUUCUAGUUGAUUCACAUUUCCAGCUAAGUUUAUGUCUAAAUAAAAUAAACGAAGCGGGUAGCGUGCUACCUAUCUCUCAAAAAAAAAAAAAACUUAUUUUGAUCAUAUCUAUUCAUAUAUUUUGUGGCCUAAUAAGGAUUAGAUCACUAAAAUUUUAGAGAUCACAAUAGAAAUUUAAUAUGGUAUUACUUUUUAAUUGCUAGAUACUAGUACUAGUUAAAGUUACAGCAUUAAGAUUCAAAGAAUAUGAAUUCAAAAAGAGAGCUCUUAACUUUUCAUAUGUACUUUUUUUAAAAAAAUUCGUUUAUGCUUUUAAUUAGCACUUAAUUUUGUGAGCAAGUGUGCUAGGACAAGCCUACAAAAUUAAGAGUCUACUAUAAAUCAAAAUUGUUUAUUGAUUUUUACAUAACCUGCAUAGUUCGGUUGAACAACCCAUUAUCUUAAAAAAAAAUUAAAAUAUUAGAGACAAAUAAAUAUUUCACACGAUUAAUUCCCAGUUUGAAUCCAAUCAGGCUACAGGUUUUAUUAAUUUCUCCUAUUCAAUUCAAGUCUACGUCUUGGGUAAACGCUAAUAUUUCAAACCCAAAUAUGACAAAAAGUAUUGAAUAUAAAAAUAUUAAAAAAUAAUUAUUUAAAACUUAAGGUUUUAAUUAAAAACGAUUGUUUUACUUUUUUUUUUUUUUGGUUGGUUGGUGUUUCUCCAUGUAAUUGUGUGCCAAAAUUUUGGAGCUAAGUUAUAUACGUAAUCCACUUGGCACAUGUAACACGACAAAGUAACAAACGUACAUCAUUUUAAUAUUAUGGCCAAUGGCCAAUGGGUUAGCUUACAAGCUAUGAACCUUCCAACACGGAUUGAGAAAAUAAUUGGUGGGGGGACUUGGAAGUUGAUCUGGUCAACGAUGUAGAUAAUGAUUAAUUAGGUGGAUAAGCAUGUGAUUUAGCAUGGGAUUAAUUAAGGAUCUAUUUAAAUGUAUGAAUAUUUUAUUCAUCACUUCCUUUUCAUUUAUUCCAAAGAAGCACACGAUUAAAUGUAUAAAACAGCAUAUUAUAUACGACCUCUAAGUCAUUUUGUGAUAAAAGAAAAUAAAACACCUUUGUAAAAGCUAAAGUAAAGCUUAUUUAUUAACUUGCAACCAUAAAAAUUAUUAUUAGAUAACUUGUUCUGAUAUUUAAAUAAGUAAAAGCUUCGAAAAUACCUAAAAAUUAAGGAGCACAUCAUUAUCUUUUAUUGGAUCUUUUUUAAAUCUGUCGUCUAACAUGAUGCUGAGAUAAGAAAAAAAAAAUUUUAUAUCAAAAUAAAUUUAAGAUUCAAACUUGUUUUUAAUCACACAACUCAUCAAACUGUCCCAACGGGGAUUUUAUUGAAGAGCUUCUCAACAAAGUUAGGCCCUGCGACUUAAGCGUGGCUUUGAUUAACUACCGCGUGUUUGUUUACGCUUAGAUAUAUAUACACAUUCAAGUAAUGAAAGCUAAGCAAUAGGAAGUUGGUAUAACCUCCAUCAACUCUCUUCCUUCGGAAAAAAGCUUCAACCUAGCUCUAUUCCUUUUUGUUCUUCUUUCUCACUCAGUCCUCAUGGAUCAACAAGAUGGCGAUUACAGCGGCGAUUUUAUGGUCCUAAGACCGGAUAAAGGAGGGAUGUUGGAUCUCUUCUAUCUCUUAUUUUCGAGCGAUCUUACGAAGAAUAACGCCGUCGACUGCCCGAUCGGCACCGAGAUAGACAAAGUAGGAAGAAGAUGGGCGAUCUUCAUCUCCCUCCUCUUGCAGAAGAUUCUCCUAAAGUUGAAGAAACCAAUGGCUCUCGUUGGUUCUGCGCUCGAGCAGUGGAUGAAUCUUCUCUAUGAGAAUGGUAGUUACUGGAAUCUCUUCAGUAAUAUCGUGAAAGGUGCGUAACCUCUAUGAUCGAAAAAAUAAUAUUAAUGUCAAAACAAUUUAUGUUAUUGCCAGAGCAAAAGUUUAUAUCAUGAUCAGAUACAGAAUAUUUACUUUCGCAAUAUCAAAACUAGCUUUGACAUCAAUACCUGUUCCCAACCUUUAUUUGCUAUAUUGUGAUUAAUUAUUGACAUAUAAUAUAGAAGACGUAAUUUUUUCAAAAAGAUAAAAAAAAAAACAAGAAGCAAGAAUGAAAUGAAAAAUCAGUACAAGAUCUUUAAUUAAGCUUUAACAAACUAAUUACAAUGGUUUUGAGAUAUAUUGACGAAUUGGCACUUUUUUAAAAAAAAUUUUUCAAGUUCUUAUCAGUUUGUUAACUUCGUAUUUAAUUAAUUUCAUCUUAUUCUUUGAACGGAAAAUUUUUUUCCAGGAACACUAAAGGAUUGUUGUAGAGAUAAAAUUCAAUUUUGUUUGUUGAAAUAUGCAACAAUUUAAUUAGUUAAAUUUGUAUGUAAAAAUUCAAUUAUGUGACUCUGUUUGUUGGACUUAUUAAAAAAAUUUCGCCUUAGCGAAUUCAAAAUAUAUGAAACUAAUACUACUAACAACUUAAUUAAUUAGAUUUUUAGAUAUAAACGGCUGUUUCGUAUGCCAUAAAAGUUGUUCGUAAAUUAAAUUUCUUUUGUUUAAUUCAAAUACACAUAUAAAAUGUUAAAAUACAGUUUUCUGUUGAAUAAUUAAUUCCAACAUAACAAGUUGAGCCCUACUUUUUAAUGCAAUUUAAAAAUAUCUACCAAUAAUGUAAUAAUAAUAUGCAAUAAGGUUAUGCUAACGAUACUAUGUGAGUUUCCUAGCAAUGUAGUUUUCUUAAUUACACCUAACACGCCAACUAAACUAAAUUAUUACCCACGAGGAAGUAAUUAAUAGUAAACUAACAAGAUUGCUUCUCACGUUUCAAGACUUAAAAAAUCCAUAAAAUUUCGUACCUACCGAAUAUAAAUAAUUUAAAAUACUAUUUUAAAAAAAUUUAAGUCUCUAAAAAAUGAGUAUUAUUUAAUAUGUUAUCAAAACAGGAGGUUCUGAAUCUAAAUCUCACUUGUAUUAAUUUCUUUUCUUAGGAAAAAUGAGGAUGCCGGACAAAACGAAGUCGACAUAUAGAUCGGCGAUUGGACUCAUCGACACGCGAGUCGACUUGGAUAAGAAGAUCAAAACUAGUGAUAGCAGAUACAAUGCUGCAUUGUCUAUCAUGGCUGCAAAGCUAGCUUAUGAGAAUGAAGCAUCCAUUGAGACCAUUGUUACACACCAUUGGAAGGUUUGGAUUUAACACUAAAUUCAUUAAUUAUGUGAGUGAAAAUUAAGUUUUAUGUUGAGAUUGACAACUUAUUGUUUAAAUGCAGAUGAAGUUCUUGGGGAGUUAUAGUUUCUGGAACGGUAAGAUAAGCUCAGAGCAUUACUAUAAUAUUGUUGCAUUGUUUCUGAACGAUGGGGCAUCUAAAUUUAUGAAUGACACUGUUAAAUUAGUACGAUCUAAUUUAUUUGAAUUUCAUAGGAAUUAAAAAUUUAUAAUUUUACAACAUCAUUUACCUGACCAAAUGAUCCUUAAUUUAUCUUCAAGUUAACAAUUAAAAAUUGAUAACUUUUGAUCUACUUUAAUAGUACUAGAUAGGAAAUAUAGAAAAUUUAUGAAAUUUGAUUAUUAAAAAGUUUAAAUACGCUAGAUAAUGUUAGAUAUCACUGAUCAUCGAUCCAAAUGCUGCGUUAUGAGAAAUGACGUAAAAAUAAACGAUUUUAUUUACUUCCAGAAGUAUACUAGCUUUUGAUUUUUUAGUACAAAGGUGGUCAUUAAUUGGGAAUGGGCUAAGCACUAUUAAUUGGGAGCUCGGCCCAAGUACUAUUUUGGCUUUGGUUUUCUUAUCCAAUUUACUCUCACUUUGUACAACCAAAAUUGUUCUAUUAACAAAAAUGUUCUACUAUUUAUUUUUCGCAACAAUAAAAGGAUUAACAUGCACAAUACUAACUCAUUUUGCACACUACGUAGUACGUACCCAACCUCUUCCUCAAUCAUCGUUUCUCAAUUGCUACAUUGCAGAGUACCAAGGGGACUACUCCACCCAAGCCUUCAUGUUCUGCGACAAACCGACGGACGCCGAGCUCAUCGUAGUGGCAUUCCAGGGCACCGAGCCAUUCGACGCGAUGCAGUGGCGCACCGACAUCGACUUCUCGUGGUACGAGAUCCCAAACGUGGGCAGAGUCCACUUAGGCUUCAUGAAGGCACUAGGCCUACAAAAAACCAGUGUCGGAUGGCCGAAAGAUAUCCAAACAUCAGCGAAGCCGCUCGCUUACUACACCAUUCGCGAGAAACUUCGCGGUGCUUUGGUGGAGAAUAAGAAUGCGAGGGUUCUGAUAACCGGACAUAGCCUGGGAGGCGCGCUGGCGAUUCUGUUUCCUGCUGUGUUGGCGUUGCACGAAGAGCAUAACAUGUUGGAGAGGUUGGAGGGAGUGUACACGUUCGGGCAACCCAGGGUUGGAGAUAAGAGGCUUGGAGAGUUUGUGGAGGGGUUCUUGGAUAAGCCUAAGAGGAGGUACUUCAGGUUUGUUUACUGCAAUGAUGUGGUACCUAGAGUGCCCUUUGAUGACUCUGUUCUCUCGUUCAAGCACUUUGGCAAGUGCCUUUACUAUGACAGCUUCUACAGAGGAAAGGUGAGUCUCCUCUCCCUCACAUUCAUGUCUAAUUUGCUUAAAAGUGUUGGUAUUUGCAAAUCUUGCUUCGACAUUAAAAGAUCAGAUCAGGGUUUUUUUUUUUUUUCCUCCAAAAAGAAAAAUACUCAAACUUACUGGGCAAAUUAAUAAGUACGUAGGCAGAACACUGCAGAUUAGAAGAAAGUGUCAAAAAACAAAAAGCAAAAAAAGAAAACUAGUAAAAACUCUUAAAGUUGUAGGUAAUAACUAUUAUUUAGUGCUUUAAGAGCAAAAGAAUCAAUUCAUAGAGUAUUUACUCUGUUCCUAUUAAAAUUAUACAAUUGUUAAAUGUUCCCAUAUCAAUUCUCUUGGCGUAAUAUUGAAACAACAGCUUCUCUCUGAUAUACAUACUUGCGUUCUUUUUGUUCGGCGUAAUUUUGAAACAAUUGAUCUGCUUUAGAGCUUCAAAAGUUUUAUAAACAAAGUACUGGAUCAUUGAGUUUUUAUUGUGAUGAAAAAUUAAAAUGAGUUAUUGGGCUUUUUAAAUUGUACUUACCUAUGUGGCAUAAUUUUUAAAUUAUUUUUCUACUUUGGAAGUUCAAAACUUAGCUUCCUAUUCACUUCGUUCAAUUUUUUAAAAAAAAUUAGUUCGGCUGAAAAUACAUUAAGCAACAAGACUGCGAAACUGAACCUCAGAUACCAACCAUCGAGCUUUUUAGUCAAUUGCAUUAGGUAUAGUCGGUGAAAUCCAAAACUAUCAUAACCAAAUGUUUAAAUGAUAAAAAUUUUGAAACUUUUGCCAAGUUCUUGGGUUUCUUAAGUGGAGAUUCUAAAACAAAUAUGUAAUUUUUUUUUAAAACAAUAAAAUUUUUAGUACUACUCUCUAUAUAUUAAUAACUAAUUAUUAAUUAUUAAUUAUUUUAUAUUGUUGAGGUGCAGGUACUGAGCGAUGAGCCGAACAAGAACUACUUCUCGGUGUGGACGGUGAUCCCGAAGUACAUGAACGCAUGGUGGGAGCUCAUCCGCAGCUUCUUGAUCGGAUACGUGGAGGGCUCUGAUUACGCCGAAGGGCGGCUACUCAGAUUCGCCAGGGCCGUUGGAUUGCUGAUCCCCGGUUUGCCCCCGCACUCCCCACAAGAUUACGUCAACUCCACCCGAUUGGGGACUCCACUCGUGCCAGAGAAUUAAUUAAUGACUCCUCAACUUAAUUGCGUGAUAUUUAUUCACUAAAUUUAUACAGAACUUUAUUUAAAUUAUAGACUAUUUUAAAUUAAUAAUUUAAACUCUUUAAAUUUUAGUUUUUUAAUUUGUUUAAUUUGAGUCUGUCAACGAAAUUUUAUGUGGUCUAUAUUUAUAGAUUUACUUGUUAUAUUUCAUACAAUUUUCGCAACUAUAAAAAAUUUCUUAAAGUUAGUAAUUAGCUCAUGAUUGGUGACUCACUCAACUUAGACAAAUUGAAAGAUUGAAUAGUAAAAUUAAAAUUUUGAAAGUAUGAAUAGUCAUUUCAAAAUGAUCUAUAAUUCAGAUAAGUUCUGUACAUUUUUAUCUAAGUUAAAUGUAUCAGAAUCGUCCGAAUUGACGUCGCCUUCUUUGCAGAGAAGUAUUUAAACCCGGAAAAUCCUUAAUAUUAGCUGCUGGAGUAAAAAAUAAUAAAGAAUGUAUGAUGGUGAUAUAAUUAAAUAAGUUUUCCGGAUAUCAAAAUUAAUUUUGAUAAUAAAAUUUAUCAUAAUAAUAACAUUCAAUUUGUAGAACUCAAAUGCUAGAAAAUUAAUUUUUAUACUGUAAGGUUGAAUUUUGACGUCAGAAAGAAUUUUUCUAUAUUACUGGCAUGCUAUUAUCACUGUUUUAAAAAUCGGAUUGGACAAUAAUUCAAAAAUGUAACUGGUUCGACGUAGGACUGGCAAACGAGCGAGCCGGCUCGCGUUCGGCUCGAUAUUUGGCUCGCUCGAGCUCGACUCGAAAUUAAAUGAGCUGAACUUGAACAAAAUAAAAGGCUCGAAAUUCAUUUCAAGUCGAGCUUGAGUAUUACUCGGCUCGUUCGAAUUAGGCUCGAAAAGCUCGAAAAGUGAGCUGAGCUUGAACAAAAUAAAAGGCUCGAAAUUCAUUUCAAGUCGAACUUGAGUAUUACUCGGCUCGUUCGAAUUAGGCUCGAAAAGCUCGAAAAGCUCGAAUAUAUAUAUAUAUAUAUGAGUCCGGCUACUAUACUUUUAUGAGUAUUGGCUCCCUUAUACUCAUAAGUUUUCGGCUCUUAGAUUUAUUCCAUUGAUCAUUUUUACCCGUUAGAUCAUACUAUUCAACUAAUUACCCACUCAAUCCUAGGGGACCGCUAUCAUUUUAAGUGGGGACCACUAUUACACUAACCACACAUCCCAUCAAUCAACGGUUAAAAAUUUAUGAGUACAAGGGUGUCUAUACUCAUAAAAGUAUAGUAGUCAUAUAUAUAUAUAUAUCAAACAUUUUUAUAUAUUUUUUAAUUUUUGAUAAAUCAAAUUUAAGUANUUCUACAAAUUGUUAUAGUCAAUUUGUUAAAAAAAUAUCUCAAAUAAAAACAAACGAUUAUGAUCAAAUUAUUAAAAAAUAGUAUUCUUAUUCAUCUAUUUUACAUUAAAAUUAAAAUUUAAGUUUAAAUUAUGGAUUCAAUUUAAUUUUUGAUAUCAAAUUUGAAUUAAUAGUUAAUUUUUUUAUUACAGCGGAUCAAAAUUAAAUUUUAAAUUUUAAAGUAAAUGAAAAUUAAAUUUUGAUGCUUUUAGUUUAAGACACAUAUUUAAAUUUGAUUCAUCAAAAAUCAAAAGGUAUAUAAAAAUAUUCGAUAUAUAUUAAAAAAAAUACUGUAGGAUAUUGUUAAUAUUUUUUAAUAAAAUAUAACAUAUUAAUUUAUGAAUAUGAUUUUUAUUAUAAAAUUUUGAAUAUAUAUAAUGAACAAAUUUAUAUUAAUUUAAAAUAAAUUAUAAUAAUUAUUACGUGCAUUUGCACGUACAUUCAACUAGUUAAUAUAAAAGCACAUAACUUUACUUAAAAAAAGUUUAAUUUCAAAAUGUAGUAAAAUACAGUCCAAUAAUAUUGUUUCAAUUUCUGUCACCUGUCCAUGAACAUUCUUCAGAAAAUAAAAGAUAAAUGGGAAAGAUUCUGUCCCCUUUGAUAUAUUUGUUUUACAAAAAUUAAAAAAGAGCGGAGUUGUUUUUGACCGUAAAUCAUUACUUUCGCUGUUUGAUUUGUAAUAAAUUAAAUUUAUUAUUAACUUUACUUUUCAAAAUAUUUUUUUUUGGAUGGUGCCGAAGUCUAUUACUAAAUAAAAAUAAAAAAAUAAAAAAGUAAUAAAAUAAUUAACUGUUGUAAUUCUUUUUCCAUUGUCGGUGUAGAAAUUUUCAACAAAAUAAAUUAAAAAGAAUGAGAUAAUUAAAGUUUCAAAGCCAUCGUUUCCUUAUCUAAAAAACAGUAGGAAAUUAUUUUAUCUUAAAUUUUAAUUAAACUAGGAGUUAUCUUUAAAUUGAAAAUAAAUUUUGACAAAACAAACACGUCAUUUACGUCGUAGGCCUAAUUCGGUGAUAUGACAGCUAAAGACCCCAAAAAUCGAAAAGUGUUUAUAUAAUCUUCUUGUCUCUAAUCGUUUAAAAUAACAGUUGUAGCUCCUUAGAAGUAACAAUGGUGAAUUAAAUUAAUUUUUAUAGAAAAAAAAAUUAGAAAAUUUUUUAAGAGGAUAUUUCUGCAUAAUUUUAAAACUUUUUUAAAAAAACAUAUUUAUAAUGACAAAAUAAAUAUUUUACUUAUUUUUUAUUAAAUAAUAAAUAGUAAAUUACGAGUAAUAAACUAAAAGGACAAAUAUAAACAACACCAAACUUUUAAACAUUUAAAAACUUAAACAUUAUAAAAAAUAUAUCUGCCUUUUUAUUAUAUACUAGUGAAUUACCCGCGCGAUGCUGCGGAUAUAAAAUUAUUUUUAUAAUAAAUUAUAUAUUUUUUAAUAUUUUUAUAUAGUUUUAUAAGUCUAAUUAUUAAUUAAAUAAAAAGUUAUAUAAAAAUAAUUUAAAAUUUUAAAUUAUGAAAAGUUUAAAAUUUGGAAAUAAAUAUUAUAAUUUAAAAUAUAAAAUAUUAAAUUUAAAAUUUAAAACUUUAAAAUUUAAAAAUAUCAAAAUUUUAAAUUUUGUAUUAUAUAUAUGUGUGUGUGUGUGUAGAAGGAGAGAGAAGAGGAGGGUUGGGGGGACACGUGUCACUCUAAGGUCCCCCAAACUCUCCUUUAAUGUAGUUAAAUAAAUUUAAAGCGAGCCGUAUAAAAUUAAUCCAAAUAUGUAAUUUUAAUAAAAAUUAAAAUUAUAUUAUAUAAUAUAAAAAUAAUAUUUUCAACUAGCACGUGAAACAAAUCAGGCCAGAGCCAAUGUGAGCUGCAAAGGGCAUCCAAAGAAAAUGGGAGGGAAUUAUUUUUGAAAAACUUAAAAAAUUGAGUGGGCCCACACAUGCCAUUUUCAAACAAAUGUACGUUACACUGAUUAAUGGGAAUCAAUAAUGCCACUUUUUUGACUUUUAGUGGUGACCCUAGCUACUAGAUUACAGACGUACUAAAAAAAAUCUCUGUACUGCUAAAUUAUUGCCUUGAAACCGUUCUGCCAUUUUGCGGGCUUUUCCCAACCUUCUAUCUUUGUUUUUGUUAUCAUCUGUGUAUCACCGACACUUCUAUCAGUUUUGUAUGUUUAUAUCGAAUACUUGCAUGUUAGUAUCGGACACGUGUCCGAUAUGAACACUUUUUAGAUGCGCGUUUUAUGCCGAUACAUAGCGAUUUCAUAUUUUUAUUUUAUUUUUUUUAUACAUUAUAAAUAUAAGAUGUUAAAUAUUUUAGUUUUUUAGCAAAUUUUUGACGAAUGCAUAUAAAUUUUUUAGAUAAUAUAAAUAAUUUAUAUAUGGUGCAAUAUUUUUUUCUUAAAAUAUAUGAAUUGUCAAUAAAAAUAUUGCUAAAUUUUAUUCCUAUGAGAAAUAUAACAAUAUUUUAUAAAAAUUAAUAUUUUAUAUAUAAUAAAUAUAUAUUAUUAUANGUUUGUAAUAAUGCUAUUUUCAAAAAAAAUUGAAACUACAUUUGAUUAAUUUUAUAGAAUAAUAAGAAAUAGAAAAAAGGAAAGAUAAUGGCCGAAUUUGAUAUAAAUUAUAAUUUAAUAAAAAUAAUUUAUUAUAAUAUUUAAGUAUAAGUUUGUAUAAUAUUUAGGUACUAAUAAUAUGUAUUAAUAUAAUGCAACAAAUAAUGUAUAUAAUAAAAAUAAUUUAUUAUAAUAUGUAAAUUAUCAUCCCUAUAUAAUUUAAUUUACUUCAAUUUAUAAUUUUAAUAAAGAUUGAAAUUAAACAUUGAAAUAAUAUUAUUUUACCUAAAGGGUGGAAUAGUUUAUUCUAAAUUAUUUUGGAAUAAAAGGAAAUAACAAGAUUUGACCGCAAUAAAAUAUUCGACCAAAAAAAAUAAUCCCGUUUGGUGGAACAACGGAGACAACUUUUAUUAUUCGUUGAACCAAAUAGAGCCUUAAUUUUAGAAUUAAUUAUACUAUUGGUUUCUAAUAUGUAUCUAUUUUUUUAUUUAGAUUCCUAACUUUUCUUUUGCCUAUGCACGCAUAUUGCAUUAAUCUCAACUUUGCUAUGAAGCACAUGAUAUUUUUAGAGUCGAAUCAAACCAAGUUAUUUCAAAAACAUAAAGAAGUUUGUGCUGAGAUAGACAAAAAACUAUCAAAUAAUAACCAUAAUCUAUAUAACUAAGUAGGACUUUGUUGGAACUGUCAAGUCUAUUCUGUCAAAAUUAACAAAAAUUUAAAUUGUUGGAAUCUUAGUAAAGAAAGAUUUAGCACCCGUUUGGUUCAGGGUUAAGGGGUAGAAUAACUCUUUAAUCCGAAAGUUAUUUCCAAACACCUAAUUUGGGGGGUGGGGUUAGCUAACCCGAGCCCAUCCCACUACUUUAAUCAAACAAAAUACUAUUUCACCCAAUAUCCUUCUUAUCCUUCCUAGUCCAACCAAACACUAUUUUAUCUAUACCUGAAUUAAACCCAAUUCUCAAUCAAACGUAAAAUUACUCUAAUCCACCUUAACCCUGAAUUUAACCCUAUUCUUGGAAUAACAAAUUUUUACAUAAGCCCAAACCAAACGGUGGCUUAAAGUUAGAGACCUAGUUAGCCAAAAAAAAAAAGAAUUUAACCCUAUUCUUGAAAUAACAAAUUUUUACAUAAGCCCGAACCAAACGGUGGUUUAAAGAUUAGAGACCUAGUUAGCCCAAAAAAAAAAAGAAAAAAAAGUUAGGGACCACAAUAAAAAUCUGAUAAAGGUUAGGGACUACCGUUGCAAUUAACCCUUUCCGAAUCGUCCUCGUUUUCGAUUCAAUUAAUAAAAAACAAAAAAUGGAGAAUUCCGCGCGCCACUUGAACCAUUCAAACUGUGUCCCCACUCCCCCCAGUCUCUCUACCUAGGGUUAGGGUUUAGGAAAUGGAAGAGAACAAGUGGCAAGGACGAGGGCUCUUUUCAUUUCGCUCUACAAUUAUUGAUCCUAUUGAGUUCCUCUUGUCGUUUUUUUUUUUUCCUUUUUUCCCCUGUAAUUUGUAUAUAGAUAUGUGAUAGUAACUGAUUCAUUAACAUAAUAUAGAUAAUAAUGAUCUAAAUAAAGGAAAAAAUUUUAAACAAAUGGAGUAAGAGCUUGUGAAAAGUCAAUAGAUCUGACUUAAAAAUAAAAAAAAAAAGAGCAUCCUAUGCGAAUAAACUACAUGAUAAGAGACCAGAAUCUCUUUAAUUUUUUUUUUUUAAAAAAAAGGAAAUGAGAGACAUAAAUAAGGAAACAGAGAGUGAGAUCUCUUUAUAAAAAAGAGAGUUUAUAUUAAUGGGAUUUUUUUUUCUUUUUUUUUUCAAGUAUAUAAUUAACCGUUCUUGAGUUUCCUGCAACUUUUUGAGACAUUUUGGUACAAUCUUUUUCGUCUUUUUGGCAUAAUGCAUAGUGACCACGGCCCAGAUCCAGAUCUAUUGAAAAAGAGAUCACCUUCACCUUUCCCUUUCACACAACCCCACCCUCCUCCCCUGUUCAGCGUUCACACCACUAUUGAGAUUUGAGAGCGCAGAGGCGGAGGUUUCCGAACAGCCAUAGGCGAAGACGCUCCGAUCCGGCGGUGCUUUCGAUUUCCCGCUUCUUUACUUUUUUUGAAAAAAUUUCGCCGCCGCCGCGAAGGAAUGAGCAAGAGCUCUGCCGCUUCUUCCUGCAGCAGGUCGGGCCCGGGGACCCCGAACUACCUCCCCAAGGGGUGGAGUUCGGAGCGCGGCAAGUACGGCGCGAACACUGCGGUCUUGCUGCCCCUCGGCAACGGCAGGCAGCUGCCGUCGAAAUGGGAGGACGCGGAGCGGUGGAUUCUCAGUCCCGUCUCCGCUGAAAAUGCCGGCAGGCUUUCCGCCCGACCGCCUCACCACCGACGGCCCAAAUCGAAGAGCGGCCCGCUCGGCCACCCCUCGGGGUUCGGCGGCGCGCGCUCGUCGUCGGCUUCGCCGUCGGGCCCUUGCUUCGACACCGUCCUGAUGGAGAACCUCGCGGCCGGCUCUCCUUUCAUGGCCGGGAUUCUAAUGCCGCAGCGCGGCGGUAAUUGCGGCAGGCCCUGUAACGCCGCUGGCGAGUCGUGCGUGGCGCGAUCGGCGAGCGUGCACGGGUGGUUGGAUAUGUUGAUCGAGUCGUCUUCGUCGUUGCCUAGCUCGCAGGACACUGUACAAGGUUCCGAGCUUCUGUUACUCUUCUACUUCUAGUUUGCGAAUUGCGAGGAUACGAUUCUGUUGGUCGGAAUCGUCUGCGUGAAACUUACAGGCAAUUCUGGGAAUCGUCCUGCAAGUUUCUGAUUGAGAGUUUCGAAAACUGAAUACAUUGUCCGGAUAUUCACGCGACAGCUAUUUCUUGUUUUUUGAAGCGACGUUGUCAUUGUUUAUUAUUUCAGAAGUUACUUGCUAGUCGGUAAUAACACAUCCUCUGCGCGGUCGUUAUCGCUUAAGUACCUUUAAGAAUCUAAGUCGUCCUUAAACAGUAUAUAGUUUGAACAAUUUCAUUUCAGCAUGUUCAUAAGAUUGCCAUUACAGUCUCAGGGACUUUUCUAGAGCCUUCAUUUUGAGAUGAUUUUUGCAUAAUCCAUAAAUGUUCGUCGUGCUUGUUUAGUAAUUACAUACAUUUUGCACAUCAGAAUCACUUCUCUUUUCAUAGUACAGGACUUCAUCUUUGUGCGAAAACUGUUAAGGGUUCGUUUUCGGUUGCUGCAUUUGUAAAGGAGUAUACUAUGAUGUAGUUGAUAAUUGUGCAUUAACUUGGAUCAGAAUAACAGCUCACACUCUAAUGCGUAAUCUGUAAUAUUAUCUUCACGAGGCCAUGCUUUCGUUCCUGUCCAUUUGGCUGAUGAUAAUCUUUUGAUUUCGCACGCAGACGAGAGAACUGAAAAUUCAGUCGCAGUAGCCGCUGCGAAUUCUCCUCUUACUUCGAAGAAGAAUGUGGCUACACAAAUGAGUCCCGAGGGAAGCGCUCCCUCUUCUCCUGGAGAGAAUCCUUCGUUCUCCCAUUCGCCAUCGAACUACCGCAUUGAAGAGCUGGGGAGCCGUUUCGCGAAGCUUGAGAUCAAAGAUGUGCAGGUGGAUGAUCACGUGACUAUAACCAGGUGGUCGAGGAAGCACUCAAUGAGGAACUCUGAGAACCGACCGACAAACAUCAUAGAUUACUGGAGAAGACAGAGUGCGGAGAGUAAGGAUUCGUCCUCAGAAGUAAAUGAGACAGCAAAAGACAGAUCAAAGUAAGCGAAAAAUGUUACAAAAUUCUAAUGUAUCCCCCUAAAGCCGUUUACGUAACAAACAUCAUUUAUAGCAGUUGUACACUCUUACAUGACAUCCGAUCAAUCGCUCAUCAAACUACCACAUUCUAAGCAUGUGCUGCGUGGGCUCCAAUAGCUGAUUAGAAUGGCACAAUGUCUCAAUAAUAGUAAAUGCUAUAUCACUUUUCAUUGCUUUAUUUUCGUAACGAAAAUCAAUUAGCGACCAAUUUUCAAUCAAAUUGCCAUAGGUUUUGAAAUUCUACUAGUUCUUCUUGUGUGAUUGUUUCCUUUUAGUUGGAACCCUGAUUAACUUGAGUUUUUCUCCUUUUUAAGGCUUAAGAGAGAGGAGGCAAAGAUCGCUGCAUGGGAGAAUCUGCAAAAAGCAAAAGCCGAGACAGCAAUCCUGAAAUUAGAGGUUUCUUUUUUUUUUUCUAUAUCUGCAGAGUCUCUACCAUGCUUACGCUAUGAUUCGGUUUUGAAAUACGAAUAUGCUGUAAGAGUAAAGCAGGGUAUUUAUUUGUUAACGGAAUGUUGUGUUCUCUCAUUUAGAUGAAGCUCGAAAAGGAAAGAUCAUCCUCGAUGGAGAAAAUUUUGAUCAAGUUGAGGUCCGCUGAGAAAAAAGCCAAGGAAAUGCGCAAUGCUGCCUCUGCCAACCAAGCUCAAGACAUUUCUCAAACUCCAAGAAAAGCAUCGUACUUCCGCCGAGAUGGCCAAAUUCGUUCCUUGAGAAGUUGUUUCACCUGCCGUGCCUUCUAGCAUCAUUUUAUAUCAGAUAUCUGUUUCCUGCCCAUAACUUCGGUAAGUUCGACCUUCACUUUUAAAGUACUUUUGAGCUUUGGCAUAUUGUUGUCAGUUGGAUUUCGUAUACAUGGUAUCAUCUGAAGAUCAGAAAGAAAGAUAGCCAGUGUAACUUUUAAACUAUAAAUCGAAGUUCGGAAACACCUUAUUACGAUGGUUAUCGUAAGCAUCUUGCCAAACUUUUCAAGUAUGAGAUCGGUUGCUGAAACCGGAUGAUUGUUAGUGCAGUUAGGCUUUCUAUGUCAUGACAGUUGCUACAAUAAGUAUGGAUAAGGCUGACUUUCUAGAUUGAACUUCUUUGUCCACACUUUCUGCCCUAACAUUGCAAAAGCUUUUCAUAACUCAUUAGAUUGCCGUCACAAUCAGGCCCAUCAUUUUGCCAAUCUCGUGCCAAAAGCGAUCAGGGUGAAUUCCUUCACCAGAUUAUUUAACUCUCAACCAUGUUUUUCAUAGCCAUGCAUUCUCGUCAUAAUUAUGAUUCCAGAUUCUGUGAACGUUGGUAAAUGAGAGAAAUUCUUAGCUAUUGGAGGUACCGAAACAGGACUUUCAACCUUUCUGACAUUUAAUUUCAGAAGGAACUAAACUGAUAUUUUUGAUCGAUUUACGAUAAGAAAAUUUUAACCGGGUGCUCAACGAAUUAAGAUUCCAUCAAAUUCUGAACUUUACAGAUUAUUCAGCACACCUGAGCUGAACUCAAAAUAAUUCCUAAGAAUAAAUUUUACGUCCUGAUAUGCACCGAUUCUGGUAUGUAUAUAUAUGCAGGUUAUUAACUCUAAGAAUGCUGUUUCUUUUGCUUCUGUUUCAGCUGUAAUGAAUUGCUGCUAUCAUUUGCGGAUGCGAAACUAGCAAUGGUCGAAAUCUCAGAAGAUAUUUUAAAAUCUUCACACCUUUCCUCUAUUAUCUGACUAUUGAGUGUGUCAAGUAGGUAGUGCAUAUAUAAGGAUUUGUUCGCGCCAAUUAAAGGUUUCCAAUUGUAUCAUUUUGGCCCUAUUUACUGUAGAAACUUAUAUGUAGAAACUUAUAUGGAGAGUCUCUCCAUCACAUGUUAUGUAUGAAUCUUAAAGUAUAAUAGACGGUUGAUUAGAUCAUCUCGCUGUUGGGAUGCUCCCCGUAUAAAUUUGGUUCUGAUGAAUGUACCCUGCUAGCAUUUAUUUUGUGUUAUUUGUUCGGGUGUAGCCUCUCAGUUCUUGAUUAUAAGCUAUACUUUGCAUUCAUUUAUAUAUCUGAAGACACGCUAUAAUAUCUAAGUUGAUGGCACAUACUUUACUUUUUAGUAGAAUUGUCAAAACAUAUAUUUUGAUAGAUUCAUUACAAUAUGCGCAAGAUAAUGUUAUUUGAUCUAUGCACAAGCCCAAUUUUUUUCAGGGGAGUGGAAAGAUAUAUAUUUUAACACAUCCUACUUACAAUGCCAAACGGAGUCUCACAAGAAUGAGAUCGUGAUUUUAGGCUUCAAGAAAAGUGCAGGAUAAGCUUAUAUAGUAUUAAAUUAUGUCGUUACGCAUCUUCGGGUAAUUGAGAAUAUUGGUAAUUGAGAAUAUUUAUGUUAUACUUAUACAUGAAGUUUACAUUUAUUUUUUAAAUGUUUUGCAACAACAUAAAAUUACAAUAUAGAUUGAGUUAAAAGUGAGAUACACUGAUGAGAUUGAGCCUUAAUAGGCUCGUUUUGUCGUGUAUCCUUAAUUUACUUGAACUGAACACGCUUGAGCCAGCUUCCACAUGGCUAAUAUGUAUGAAGUUGGCUGAGAUGAAGCAGUCACUAAAAACUAUAAAAAGAUUUAAUCUGAGGGAUUAAUCAAUAAUUUAAAAAUCAGAUCAAAUCAGUUAGUUCGACCAGUCAGAUCGUGACUCAGUAUAUAAAAAGGAUCGGUUCAACCCUUCGACCGGUUCGAUUGUGAGUCAGUAUAUAAAAAUGUUUAGUUCAACCCUUUGAACUGGAUAAGUCAAAAAAUAUUAUUCCGAACUAUUCAAACCGACAGUUCAACCUUCAAACCGGUGAACUAGUCCGAUUUUAAUCAAACCAAUCGAAAUUUUUUUGAUCAAGUUAUAUUAAAAUCCAAUGGCCUAAAAUUAACUUGGCUUAUUUUUUUUUUCUAUUAACAUAGAUUAGCCUUAUUAAAAGUAAAACUUAGAUAUUUAUAUCUAUUUUAAUUUGAUUAAAAACCAGUAAUUUAUAAUUAAGUAUUUUAUUAGAAUAAUAUAUAUAUAUAGUCCGGCUGGUGUGUAUAUAUAUAUAUAUAUAUAUAUAUAUAUAUAUAUAUGGCUAAAUUACAGAAAACCUCCCUGUAAUAACCCGCUUUUUCACUUUUCCUUCCUGACAUUUAAAAACCUACACUUUGCCCCCCUGUAAAAUGAAAAAUGUUCACAGGGGGGUUACGGUGUGUAAAAUGACCAUUUUGCCCCUCGCCAUUGUCGUCUUCUUCCCCAUCUUCCUCAACCGCCCCUUUGUCCGGCCGCGAUUCCCACUUCAAUCGGCCGCGAUUUCUCUCCAUUUCCUUCUCCACCUGCUCCCCUUCUCCUUCUGCACCCUCGCCGCCCUCGAUUUCGGCAACAAUAGGAGACAACCGAGGUGGGCGACAGUAGGAGAAGAGCAAAGAAGGCGAAGGCGAGGCGGCGGAGGACGGCGAAGGGAAUGUGGGUGAGGGCGAGGCAGUGGAGGACAGCGAGGCGGCUAGGCGGCGAGACGGCGAGGCGGCGGCGAGGUGGCAAGCCGGAGGGAGGCGAAGCAACAGGGAGAUGGCGGAGGGGUAUUUUCGGCAUAAAAAUAUAUUUUUUAACAUAACCCUAACGGUAAGGGGUGAAGUGCACAUUUUUUAUUUUACAGGAGGGCAAAGUAUAAGUUUUUAAAUGUCAGGAGGGAAAGUGAAAAAGCGGAUUAUUAUAAGGGGGUUUUCUGUAAUUUAGCCUAUAUAUAUAUAUAUAUAGGCCAUGGCUAUUAUAUUAUUAUGAGUAUUGAAGUCCUCGUACUCAUAAGUUAUUUUAAAUGAUGGAGCUUCCGAAUCAACGAUCCACUCCGUUAAAUAUAAUCUAGAGUAUUUGAAACUUCUAAAAAAUAAAUUUUGUAAAUUUUCGAAAUCAUAAAAAAGUCCAUCAAGUUUGCAUAAAAUGAAUGGUCAAAAUCGAACGACGUCCUAAAAAAGGAUGAUCGGAUCCUUCAAUUCAAAAUCGGAGUUAUUGAACUUUAUCUAUGUAGUGAAUAUAAUUUUCUAUCAAAAAUUCAACAAAUUCCGAUUCUUUUACACCGUUAAACUAGCAAGUAUCCCAUACAGGCCGUUAAAAAUUGUCAAAUUUGUGACCUCUUUAUCGUAAGGUAAAUAAUGUCGAAAAAUUAUAAAAUUUGAUUUCUAGAAAUUUUAAAUACUGUAAAUAACGUUUAACGGUGUAGAUCGUCGAUUCGGAAGCUCUAUCAUCGAAAACUACUCAUGAGUACGAGGGCGAUCAUACUCAUAAUAGUAUAGUAGCCGAACCCAUAUAGGCUAGGGCUACUAUACUCAUAUGAGUAUAGAGCCUUUUGUACUCAUAAAUUUUCGGCCGUUCGGAUAAAAAAAUGUGUGGUUAGGAUAAGAGUAGUUAUGGUUAGGUUGAUAGUGGGUUCUCUAGGGUUGAGUGGGUGGUUGGUUGAAUAGUACAAUCUAAUGGGUGCAAAUGAUUAAAGGGUAGAUCUAAUGGCCAAAAACUUAUGAGUACAAGACGCUCUAUACUCAUAAGAGUAUAGUAGUCAGACUGAGUGGGCUGGGUAGAUCUGGUUGAGUAGAAAAAUUUUUUGUUUUUGAUUCGAUUGGGCUUUAUAUUUAGGCUUUAAUAGAUUUUUUAAAAAUAUUUUGGCAUAAAUGGAACACUUACACAAAAGCAUCCUACAAAUGUAUCCCUAUAAUCUAAUUCUGUUGUAGUGAUGCUAAAUCGUAGGUUGGUAAAGCCCUAAGUUUAGAACCUCAGGAGGGCUUUUUUGAAGUUUUCCUUAAUAUUUAGUGUUUACCACAUCUUCAUGCUGAAAUAUUGUGCAGCCUUGAUUGAAAUUCUAAAGACAAAAUUGAAGUUCAGAUCAAACUGCAAGGAGUAAGUUUCUAAUUAACACUAUAAAUAAAAUACUUCUUAUAAGUUUUAUUUCAGAAUCACCUAUAGUUGAGGGCUCUUCACAUAUUUUUACGUAAAAAUAGAAAUAAAUAAAUAAAAUAAUUUAUUUUUUACUUAAUUAUAUAUAAGUAACCUCUGUUAUUUUGCACAUAUAUUAAUUUCUAAAGGUAAAUAUGCAUAGAACUUAUGUGAACUAAAGAUCAUUUUGAUUCGACUACUCAAUCCUUUAAAAAUCUAAUUUUUAUUAAACAAACUGAUAGCUCUUCCGAUACAAAAUUUAAGUUAAUUAUUUAUUUUAAUAUAUUUAUAGUAACAUGAUCAUAUGAAAUAUAUACCUUUAAUGAUAAACAUCACAUUUAAAAUUUUAAAUUAAGAAGUCAUUAACCGGUCCAAAUCAAAUAAAUUAAAAUAGCCAAUAGUAAAAUUAAAAUUUUUAAAAGUAUGAUAAUUAAAUUAAAAUGAGCGAUAGUUGAAAUGAGUUCUAAACAUUUUUACCUUUUUUAAAGGGGCUUUUGUUUUUACAGCAAUGGUUCUAUAAUUAUUUUACUAAACUUAAUUUACAACCGGAUUGCAACUUCAUUGAUCCAAACGCCCCACAGGUUGGGCUUUUCUCAAUUAGGCUAUAACCAUGAUGGAUAGUUAGGCUUGGGGCAGACCAAUUGCAACUCGGACUUGAAUAGAUAUCAGCUGGGUUUGAGUCCAUCUAUUUGGCUAUAUAAUAUUUACAACUUAGCGAUCCAUUGAUAUUGAUUGAAAAUUCAUUAAAAAUUAUUGCUACGAAAUGUUAUUCUUAUAUAUUAUUGAUGAAGGACCUAGACCAUGCAAGAUUAUGCAAGAAAAAAAAAAACUAUAUAUGAACAUGUUUAGAAAAAUCCUUGUAGACAAAAAAAAAUUCUACAAAAAACUCCGAAGCAAAAGAAGCGUAUUAAUAGGCAAUACAUUAAAUCUUUUAAAAAACAUAGAGUUGAAUUAGGAUUUACAGUAGUACGGAAGUGAGGCAACAGUAAAUAAAUCCACAACAACAAUUCCAAAUCGUUGUUAGUUUCUUGAGAGAAAUAUAAAAAUAGUUAAUUAAAAAGGAAAAAAUAAGAAAAGCAAUUUGGAUUUCCGAAGCAGAAAGUAGUGUAGAAAACUAAGCAAUAAUUCAAUCUUUUUAUUUAAGCAAAGAAUAACUUAAAAAGUUUACAGGAUCAUAGAGUUGCUUUUGGAGUUACAAUAGAACAGAACCAAGGCAAUAGCAAAAAAGAUGUAGAAAAACGACAACCACUAAAAAGGGUCAAUUGGUUUAAUUAGAUUCAACUUGUGAUUAUUAGCCAUCUUGUAUAAUGCUUCUUCAUCUUUCUUGACAGUUCUUCGUAAAGCUUAAUCAUGAAAUUUUAGUGAAUUACUUUAAAUUUGGAAGAAAGGCUCUUAUUCUCAUAUACUUCUUUAUUCCCAUCUAGUUCUUCAAAUUUUCUUUUUCGUAAUUCCUUUGAUAGUAAUUUUGUUGUUUACUCUUUAUAUAUGCAUUCAAAUGUCAAACUCAAACUAUGCUAAGAGAAAAACAUAAAGCAUAAGAAGAAGUAUACUAUGCUUGUUGGGAAUCCGAUACUCGCCCCAGCACCGGAUUUUGAGAAUCCACAAUCCGUUCCGAUACCGACUGCUGUGGAUCCGGUGCCGAUUGUUGGGAUUCCGCAACGGAAACGUCAAAUCGAAUUUUUACCAUAAACCCGUCUCCUAAGCAAAAGCUAAUACAAUCACAAAAUAGAGAAAAACCAAAACAGAAAAUAUGCGGGUAAAAUAAAAUUUAUUAAAUAAAAGAAGAUUGCACCUGACUCCUCUUCUGCAACAGAAUAGCUACAAUCCGAGCCCUCUUUCUGAAUCUCUUCUACCAUUCUCUCGUCUUUUAUAAAUCUAAAGACAACUCUCUUUCUCUCUCACAUGCACCAGUGCACUAGAUGCAUGCAACCAGCCAACUCUCUCUCUGGUACUACCCACCAAAGAGCUUCAACUUUUUGGCAGUACUCCCUCUCCAAAAGCAUCCCAAAGGGUGCUUUUGUAAUGCAUCCUCUAAAACGUACGCGAAUUCUAGUCCAAUUAGAAUUCCUACUCCAAUAAAUAUUUAAAUUUAUAUAUCAUUUAUCUCCACUAGAUUUAAAUAUUUAUUCUAAUCUAGUUAGAUUCAUACUCUAAUUAAUAUUUAAAUCUUAAUUUAUCUACAAUAUAUUUAAAUAUUAAACCUAAUCCAACUAGAAUUAAUCUACAAAUUUAACCAAAUCCUAACAAUGCUAUUGCUUCUUCUUCGUAUAUAUUCAACUAUGCAUAAAAAUAAAACCAAAAAAAGAUUGGAGUAGACAAGAAGAAGAAUGAAUUUGCAAAAAUAAGAGGGAUGAAGAACCAACGAACACGUGCGAGGCAAGUGUUACAAAAAAAGAAAAAAAGGCACUACCAUAUGACUAUUUAUUUUGAGAACUAAAUUUAGACUUGACGAAUUCAAGAGUACAAGAACCAACACUACAAUUUAUCCAAGGAAAAAGAUAUUAUAUAAAACACUUUGCAAUGGUCACCAUAGAUUAUCUACAAAAGUUUUGAGCCUCGUGCUAUCUAUAAAAGCUAUAUACUAAUUUGCUGCUACUACAAAGAAGAACCAGGGCCAACUAAAUCUAUUUCGUGAGUUACAACAACUCAUUAAAAAGGAAAAGUCAUUUUCUUACAGGAAAGACACAGUCCUUAAACCACCGCAAAUUUUCUCUAACUCGCCCAUUCAAUAUUACUAUUCGAUUGCUACUGCAAGAACGAAACUUUGACACACAGCUAUAAACGUGGUUUUCUCUCACACAGAAUGACGGGUCGUUCUGGACCCACCUGUGUUUAUGAUGAGUUAGACACAUUAUAUUUAUUUUGAAUACUUAUUCAUUUGAGAGGUGCAUUUGAAACCGAACAUCAACACCCAUUAUAAGUUUCCAUAGGAUCCCUUGGCUAGACAUGAACAAAUAUUUGGUUGGAACCAUCUUAAUGUGAGUCUACAUGAUCCGUCAUUCAUAGUGUUUUGAGAUCUUUGCCAAUAGUACGAUGAUGAUGUAUUACAAAGUCUUACAUUAGGAAUGGUCCCCGUCAAGUUUUUGUUCAUUACACCCAGUAGUAGCCGGCUAAGUUAGCUUUGUUGCUUUUGGCUAUCAUAUUCCAAUUCUUUUAUCAAUAAUAAUAUUGUUUGCUUGGUGGUUGAUAUCCGAGGUUCCAAGUUCGAAUCUUAGUUGAUUCACAUUUCAAGUUAAGUUUAUUUCUAAAUAAAAUAAACGAAGUGGGUAGCAUACUACCUAUCUCUCAAAAAAAAAAAAUAAAAAUAAAAAAAUUGUUUGCUUGCCACUUGAAUGAGGAAUAAAUUUACUUCUUGUAGUCUCUAUUUGCAUUUCGAAUAAUCAGACACCAUCAGUUUCGAGGGAAUUGCUUUGGGCUCUCCACAAAGCGUCCUCUAUGAGUUGUUGAGUUGUUUGUGUGUUGGCAAAUUUAUGCGGUCCCCUGAACGUACUGCAUGCUUGAAUCAAUUGAAGACCUCCAUAUUAUGUAUGCUAACAUAUUUCCGACCCCUAAGACCAGCACUAAUGGAAAUUGUGAAGUUUAUAAUUGUUUCAAAAGCUUCAGGUGUUGUAUUUAUUAAUCCAUCCAAACACUACUUUCCUCAAAAGAUAAUUGCUCAUUUACUACGGUUCAACGGCGCAACAGUUUUUACAGUGCUUUGUUAAUUAGCUCAACAUUAGUAUACACAGGCCCUACUAAUUAGAAGUGAUAAUUUGAAGUUAUAAUGAAUUUGCCUGCUUUAGCUUGGGUAUUAAGAUAGCAUGCAUAUAUGCAAGUGAAGCGUUUUAUCGAAGAUCUCCACAAAACAGGAAAGCUAGAGAUAAAUUGAUUGCUGCUUUAAUUUUUCUAGAAUAAAUUGAUUGCAAAUUUAGUCCCUGAGCUUUUGAUUCCAAUUGGAGUACUCAAAUUUUAACAAUUUAGUGGGUGAAAUUUGUUAGCAACAAUUAAGCACUUCCUGUUAGACUACUAUCUAAAAAAAUAUCACAAAAGUCAUCAGCAAUACUUUUAAAAUAGAAACCUCAUGAACAUGUGCAGCUAAAUGAGGCCAACUAAAGGAUUUAAUCCUCAUACAGGACAAAUUUUAUAACUAAUCUAUUGAAAUUGUAAGGAUAUAGGAGGGUCAAACUCGAAGAGAAUUUUUUUAAUCUUUAUUUUGUUUUUGUUUCGGUGUGUAGAAGCCCUUUCAGCUCCUCUCAAUUUUAACUCAGUAUUGAGCUAAAGAAUGACAGACAAAUUCGCCGCAGUUGGCAUACUCCUAGUUACUUUGGGUGAUUUCCUAAAAGCUUGUGUUAGAACUGUUAAUUUUGAUCCUUUGCUACUGUAUGAUUUUGGCUUCUCACGUUCAAUAAAUUAACCAACAUAAUCGCGCACUUCUUUUGACUCAUAGUGUGUGCUUGGUCUAACUUUUAGAAUAACUCAUAUGAGUUUUUGAGCCUUCUACUGCUGCUUCUACUUCUUUAUCUGAUGGGUUUUAUUGAUAGGGUGACCUUGACAACAUUCAUAGGAAGUCGAGGUUAAAGGUUCAUAAAGCACAUUAAGACAACUUUGGUACAGAUGGUAGGAUUCCGAUUUCACAUCUCAAGAUUAAAAAUUGUGAUGUGGGACAAUUUCUGCAUUUCCAAGAUACGACAAAGUGAAUUAUUAAUCCAAAAUCAACACUCUUUAGUUUCAAAUUGAGAUGGGGUGGCUUUGGAUAUUAUCAUAAGCAUAGCCUAAGGCAUACACUAUGUCCGAAAGCUUGCAUAAUUGAAAUUGUAUAUGAGAUACUUUGUUGUCUGUUUUUAAGAAUUUUUCAUUUUACUUCUCAGUUCUGAAAUUUGAACCAAUCUGUGACAGUAUAUGAUAGAUGUUUCAAAUGAUGUCAAUCAACCUUGAUGUUUUCGAUGUUCAAACUUGAAAUUCAGAAUUCGUCAUAUCAUGAUUGUGGACCUUUUUGUGAAUCUUUAGAGUGCACACGACCAUUUUAUGCCAUUCUAUCUGAAAAUAUGACAUUCUUAUAUAUCAGGUGACUACUUCUUUGAAAAUAAGAGUCAAUGAAAUGAACAAUCAUUUCCGCCUCGCACUAAAACAUAAAACACAUAAAUACAUAAUAUUUGCUCUUUUGUUCCAAUAAUUUGGCUAAUUCUCCAUGAUGUAGAGGACCGUUUGUUCUAUAUGUCAACUAAAAGUUGUCAUGCUUUACUUUCUCAAUUCAUUUGGUUAUGGUUAUGAUAUGAGAAUUUUGGUACGAUAUUCACCUGAGCUGUUAAGGAUUUUUUAAAAUUCUUUAUAUUGCAUGUGUUCUCAAGAUUUCUUGUGCCAUUAUUUUUGUUGAAGCCUUUCUUUGGGGAUAACUAUGAUACUUGUCUAUUGUUCGUCUCCAUUAUACAGACAAUUAUUUACACCUGAAUUCUAUUUGAUUUAAAUUCUGUCUUAUUCAACCUUGAUUUGUUCGUAUUAGUAUCUUGUGCUCCUUUUGUCGGUACAAAACUCCAAAGGAGCUCCACAAAUGGAUCAAGAUACCAGCAGUUUUUUGAAUCGCUAUAAAAUUACACACCAAUCUUAUUAUCAGAGUUAGAAGUGAAAAUAGAGAACAUAUGCUUAGUGAUUCUAUUUUGUUUUUUAUUUUUCUUUAUUUACUUUUUCUUUUCUUUUUCUGUUCCAUUUCUAUCCAAUAAUACAGAUCAAGUGUGCAUAGUGAUUCUAUUUUGUUUUUUUUAUAAUUUUUAGCGUAAAAUUUUUUUUUGACCUUUUUUAUUUACAUUUUCUUUCUUUUUUUUCCCACUUCCAUCCAAUAAUGCAGAUCAAGUGUGCACAGUGAUUCUAUUUUGUUUUUUAUUUUUUUUUCAGCAUAAAACUAGCUCCUUUUUGAACUUUUUAAUUUACUUUUUCUUUUCUUUUUUCUUUUCCACUUCCAUCCAGUAAUGCAGAUCAAGUUUAAACUAUAAUAAAUACAUAGAAAUUUGUACUGAACACCAUAUUAAAAUAAAGAGGACACCAUAUUAAAAGGAUCGACGCAAACAAACAAUCAACUCCUAUAUCGAAAGAAAAGGAUGAAAACACAAAAACACAAAAGUUAGCUACUCACGACGCGAACAAAAUAAAAAUCCUAAAAGAAAGAGAAAAAAGAUGACAGAAUAAGGAAGGACGAAAUAAAAAAAGGGAGAAAGAAGGAAGAAAAAAAGGUAAAGUUUAGUUUUUACAGUUAAAAGGUGUCUUUGGAUUCUCAUCGGUUAGCAUCGUAUGUUUUGGACCACAUACGGUAGGCGAAUGAUCAGGAGAAGGCGCCAUCACAUAUUCAUCAGGAUUUGCCACCGUGAUCUCAUCAUCCAUUGGAACAACGUUGAUUGGUGAAUUAUUUCAAAAUAUCUAUUAAUGUUUUUCUUCAUUUCUUCCAAGCCAGCAACAAAUCGGUCCCUUUCUAUGAUCAAAGAAUUAUAAAACCUUCUAAGAAAGUCGUAGUCUAACUUAAGCAUUUCAUAUUCGUCACGAAGCUCUUCACGAUCGUGACAAAUCUGAUUGUAUAAACCUGUUAAAUAUUUUCUUUCCUCGUAAUAUGUGUCCGUAACUUCAAAGCUUAGCUAGUUGUAGGGCUGGCAAAUGAGCGAGCUGGCUCGCGUUCGACUCGAUAUUUGGCUCGCUCGAGCUCGACUCAAAAUUAAAUGAGCCGAGCUUGAACAAAAAAAAAGGCUCGAAAAGCUCGAAAAGCUCAAAUAUAUAUAUAUAUAUAUAUAUAUAUAUAUAUAUUAGAGCUAAUAUGCUAUCGAAAGUAUAGAGGAUCUGGUGCUUUCGAUUUUUUGAUUCUUAAAUCAACCCCUUUAAUCAUUUUUUAUCUUUUGAUUAAUAUUAUUAUUACCUUGUAGGGACCACUCAAUUAUAGGGGUAUUAUUUAAUUCUAGGGAAGACCGCAAUCAUCCCAACCAUACAAUUCUUAAUCAAAUGGUCAAAAUUUCGAAAACAUCAAAUCCUCUAUAUUUUCGAUAGCAUACUAGUUCUACACUCUAUAUAUAUAUAUAUAUAUAUAUAUAAUAUUUUAAUUAUAUAUAGGCUGAGUGAAUAAUCUCAGUUUAGUUGAAAUUGGGCCAAUGUUGUUGGUCCAUAAAAACAAAUCCAAUAGGCAAAUAAAAAAGCAAAAUUUUAUUAAAUUUAUACAUUUUCCUUUUCUUUCUUUCUUUCACAGAGCUCUAAAUUUUCAAUAUGUUUCUCUCUUUCUCUUUUUCUGUCUCUCACCCUAAGUGGCCAAGCCGGAAGCCCUCCAAGUUACCAACUAACAGCAUAUGCCCACCGUUGACUAUCUUAUUAUUAAUUGUAUACUUGAGAAAAUAUACAGAAUAUUUUUAAAAUAAAAAAUUAUUAUUCAUAUAAAAUUUUAAUUUUAGUUAUAUAUGAUUGGAUAGUUUAAUCCAAUAUUUAUCUAUAUAAUUUAUUUAUUUUUGACUGCAUAAAUGGAAAUGAAUAAUAUGGAGAUUGAAGGCGGAAGAGAAGACAUGUGAGGCUGAAAAGAUUAGAUAUUUAACUCAUAAAUUAUUUUUCUUCAUAUUAUAAUAGUAUAUUUCAUAUAAUUAUUUUGUACUUUGAACUAUUAGACAUAUUUUUGUAUCAAAUUAUAGAUAAUGUUCUAUACAAAUUAAACUAUUGAUCGUAUGAUGUUGAGAAUUUCAAGCAGCUCGUUUAGGGCUCGAGCUCGCUUGACUCGAAAUUAGGCUCGCUCGAGCUCGGCUCGAAUUAAUUUCAAUCCAAGCUUGAGCUUAAAUUUAGGCUCAAAAUUAAUUUCAAGCCGAAUUUGAGCCGAUGUAAGCUUGCUCGAGCUCGGCUCGUUUCCACCCCUAGCUAGUUGCGAAGCCUCCCAAUAGCAAUCCUUGCAGCAUCGUCUUUGGUACGAUUAGCAUUCGAAGACAAUGUGCCCCAACUUGUAAUGACUUCUAUAUAUGAUUCGGCUACUCCGAAUUUCUACAUCGAAGUAAGAGAAAAAUCUCAAGCCCGCAUGUAAUGUCAUUCCGUACCUUGGAGCAUGAGGCGAAAAUUUAGCGCAGAUCUUGCGAAGUAAACGGCGAAAAUUAAUAUCAACGCUAAUAGGUGUUGCCAUUGUUGUAGUCAAAUGAAAGAUGAGAGGAAGUAUAGUUCAUCACUCCGGAAGAGGAGUGAAAAAAAAUUCUAAGAAUUGGGAUAAGAAUUUGGAGCCGACUAAUAUUAAUCUACCGUAACGAUUUGGUUCGGUUCAGAGGUUCAGAGAGAGGCUGUUUAAUAGUUCAGUUCAGAUGUUUAGAGAUACAAUGAGCAGUUCAGUUCAAGUGCUAGAUAAGUAGUCCGAUUUAGAAUGCAUUUGGUUCAGUUUUCAUACAAAAAAUCAGAGAGGCAAUUCAUUGUUUCAGUUCAGAUGUUUAGAGCCGCAAUGAGCAGUUCGGUUCAAGUGCUAAUUUAGAGAAGAGAAAAGUAAGAGAAGAUAGAGAAUCGGUUCAAAUAGGUGGUUCAGUUCAAAGUGGGGCUAUGAGGGUUAAAAGUGACUUGCCACGUGGCAAGAAAUAUUAUGACUUUAUAUAGGUUUAUAAUUAUUCAUAACACUGUUAUUAUUUUAUUCUACAAUGAUUCCUCCUCCACUUUUAUUUUGUCAGUGCUUUAGGCAAAAUACAUAACGAAAUUUAUCGGAUACAUGUGCUAGAAUCUCCCACACGCAAAAUUUUUAAUGAGGCCCAAACUAAAAAGGUGUCCUCCACGUACGUAAGUAGAGAACAACUAGGGCAAGAAACCUACCCCAUGCAUGCAUGCAUAAAUACUCCACCAGAGUCGUUACACUUUCCAAUCCUAUAUUAAUUCCAAGAUCCCUGACUUGGGCAUGCCUUGUUGAGUUAGCAUCUACAUAUGUGCUCUAUAUAAACUCUCCAAAUACGAGAACUAUACGUAUUUUUACAUAAAACAAAAAUGAAGAGUAAACAACUCUUUCUUAGCCUCACUCUCGUAGCAUUCCUCGCCUUGCAACAAUGCACCGCUUCCGUCGGCGGCGGCAUCGGCAGUGGCUCGGGCUUUGCGAGGGCGAUCGGGGCUUGUUUCGUGGUCGAUGGGCGCCCGUUCUACUCGAACGGGUUCAACGCGUAUUGGCUCAUGUACAUGGCGUCGGACCCCGCGGACCGCGACAAGGUGACCACCACAUUCCAACAAGCCGCUGAUCUUGGAGUCACAGUGAUCAGGACUUGGGCUUUUAGUGAUGGAGGAUACAGGCCAUUGCAGUACUCUCCACGGAGGUAUGUUAGAGGUUUGGUGUUUAUACUAUACAUAUAUAUAUAUAUUAGUAUAUAUUAUAUAUUGCUUGUCACUUUUUUAAGCGUAACACGUAAUGAUAAAUUAUAGCUUGCUUAUAGAAUCAUAGAAGCAAUUUAAAUAGUUAAGUCAUCUAUAUAUUAUGCUAUCAAGAUACCACACAAAAUUUGUUUUUUUUUAUACGGUGAAGAUCAUACACGCAACAAACUCAUAAACUCGUUUUAGUACAUGUUUGGGUGCGUAUCAUUCGUCAGAAAGAAAAAAAGUGUAUGCUGAGUUGACAUUUAAUUAAUUAUAACUAGGUUUAUUAUAUACUUUUAUAUAUAUAUAUUAUAUAUAUUAUAUAUAUAUAUUUAUAUGUUAUAUAUAUUAUAUUGUAUGUAUGUAUGUAUGUAUAUAAAAUAGUUCGAUUGAUCCUACACAAUACAUGAUCAAAAUCAGAUCGAGCAGAUGACUAGUUAUUAUAUUAACGUGUUAGAUGUUAACGAACAUCAUCAGUCUGCUAUAUCGAUAUUGAAUUUGCGAAAAUAUAUGUCAAAGCACAUCGGUAAACUAUAUAUGAGCAGAUGCUAGUUAUUAUCUAACGUGUUAGAUUGUUACGAACAUCAUCAGUCUGUACAUCAAUAUGAAUUUGCGAAAAUAUAUAAAGCACAUCUAAACUAUAUAUGAACCAUUUUUAUUUUAAGUCAGUUAAUAAUAUUUUGACUUUAAAAAUUACGCUAAUUACUUACUCUAGUGAAUUUAUUGUUGUAAAUUUUAUAUGAAACAUAUAUACUAGCUAAAACUGUAAAAAUAAAUGACAUGUACAUUUAAAUUUUAAAGACAAAGUGUCGUUGGUUUUGAAAUGUUAGAUAAUAAAAUAAAAAUUUUGAAAAAUUGAAUAACCAAAUCUAAAUGAUUCACAGUUCAUGUUACUUCUGUACGUUUUACUAUAUACAAAACUUAGAAUUCUAGCACAUGUAUCUACAAUGCAAAAGGCUUUUUGGUCUAUCUAGUGACUCUUGUGGGCUGAUCCGAGCUUCUUAACUUGGUAUCAGAGCUUGUAUUUUUAUUUUUAUUUUUAUUUUGUUUGUAAUCAGGGGUUAGAUUUUGUGAUAUCUGAGGCCAAGAAGCAUGGGAUCUACCUAAUACUGAGCUUGGUUAACAAUUGGGAUGGUUUUGGUGGGAAGAAGCAAUACGUGCAAUGGGCAAGGGACAAGGGCCACUACUUGGGAUCUGAUGAUGAUUUCUUCAGGGAUGAUGUUGUAAAGGGAUAUUACAAGAACCACAUCAAGGUUAAACUAACUGAGUUUUUGAUUAGUUUUUAUGUUAAACUUAACUUGUUAAUAAUAUACGAUCUCUCCUUGUAUUAGUUCUUUAUUAAUUUGCUGCAAUAUAAUUAAUUAAUUAAUUAAUUAGGCAAUUCUCACGAGGGUUAAUACCAUAACUGGAGCUGCGUACGAGGAUGAUCCCACCAUAUUUGCGUGGGAGCUCAUGAACGAGCCAAGAUGCGAAAGCGACCUCUCGGGGAAGACCCUGCAGGUAAUUAAUUAUUAAUUGCAUGAUAAUUCAUCUUAUUAGUAUGUAUAUGUAUAUAAAAAUUAAAAAGGAAAAAAUAAUACACAUGGCAGAUGUUUUGAACAUACAUCUUGUUAUAUAAAACAUGUUUAUUUUAUCAAAAGUCAAACACGGUGAAGUUGUUUUUGGCUGUAAAUACUCAUUUUCAUUACUUGAUUCGCUAUAAAUUAAAUUUUUUCAUACUUCCAACCUUUUCAAUUCCCCUACAUAUGUGAAACGAAGAGAUUAAAAAACAAGAUACUAUUGCAACUUUUUUGAUCCUCCUAAUUCACUACAACAGAAUUAGAUUAUAGGGACACAUAUUUGGAACACUUUUGUGUAAGUAUUUUAUUUAUGCCAAAUUUUUUUAAAAAAAAUUACUAAAAUCUAAAUAUAAAGCCCAAUCCAAAAAAGUUGCAAUAGUAUCUUGUUUUUUAAUCUCUUCGUUUCACAUAUGUAGGGGAAUUGAAAAGGUUGGAAGUAUGAAAAAAUUUAAUUUAUAGCGAAUCAAGUAAUGAAAAUGAGUAUUUACAGCCAAAAACAACUUCACCGUGUUUGACUUUUGAUAAAAUAAACAUGUUUUAUAUAACAAGAUGUAUGUUCAAAACAUCUGCCAUGUGUAUUAUUUUUUCCUUUUUAAUUUUUAUAUACAUAUACAUACUAAUNAAAAAAAAAAGCUCGGAAUUCAUUUCAAGCCGAGCUUGAGCAUUACUCGGCUCGUUCGAAUUAGGCUCGAAAAACUCGAAUAUAUAUAUAUAUAUAUAUAUAUAGUAGAACUACUAUGCUAUCGAAAGUAUAGAAGAUCAGGUGCUUUCGAUUUUUUGAUUCUUAGACCAACCCUUUUAAUCAUUUCUUAUCUUUGGAUUAAUACUAUUAUUAUCUUGUAGGGACCACUCAAUCCUGAGGAUAUUAUUUAAUCCUAGGAGGGACCGCAAUCAUCCCAACCAUACAAUUCUUAAUCAAAAAGUCAAAAAUUCAAAAACAUCAAAUCCUCUAUAUUUUCGAUAGUAUAGUAGUUCUACACUAUAUAUAAAUAUAUAAAUAUAUAUAUAUAUAUAUUAAAAAAUAUAUAAAUAUAAUAUAUUUUAAUUAUAUAUAGGCUGAGUGAAUAAUCUCAGUUUAGUUAAAAUUGGGUCAAUGUUGUUGGUACUAAAUUUAACAUUUCCAUCUUAUUUCUUUCCUUUCACAAAACUCUAAAUUUUUCAAUAUUUUUCUCUCUUUUUCUUUUUUUGUCUUCACCCCUAAGUAGCCAAGGCGUAAAAAAGACGCAUCCUUCAAAAGUUACCCAAGUAUCAGCAGAUCCGCCAAUUGCCUACUGCUUGCUAUUAAUUAAUGCUUAGAGCAAAAAACAUGAAUAUUUUUUAAAAUCAACAAAUUACUUCUUCAUCAUAAACAUUUAAUUUUCAGUUAUAUAUGAUUGCAUACGUUUACUCACAUAUUUAUCAUAUAAUUUUAUCUGUAGUUUUGACGCCGGCAAAAUGAAAAAUGAAUAAUAUGGGAUUGAAGGCGGAAGAGAAAGACAUGUGAGGCUGAAAAAAUUAGAUAUUAGACUCAUCAAAUCAAGACAUGUGAGGCUGAAAAAAUUAGAUAUUCGACUCAUAAAUUAUUUUUCUUCAUAUUAUAAUACUAUAUUUCAUAUAAUUAUUUUGUAUUUUGAACUAUUAGACAUAUUUUUGUAUCAAAUUAUAGAUAAUGUUCUAUACAAAUUAAUUAAACUAUUGAUUGUAUAAUGUUGAGAAUUUCAAGCAGCUCGUUUAGGGCUCGAGCUCGCUCGACUCGAAAUUAGGCUCGCUCGAGCUCGGCUCGAAUUAAUUUCAAUCCAAGAUUGAGCUUAAAUUUAGGCUCGAAAUUAAUUUCAAGCCGAAUUUGAGCCGAGGUAAGCUCGCUCGAGAUCGGCUUGUUUCCACCCCUACAAAUAAGUGUUGGUAACUUAGCAGCACCUUUUUUAGGUUAUACCAAUACUCUUAAACUGUCAUUAUAUACCUAACGACCCCACAUAAAGCAACACUUUUUAAAAGUGUAGGUAAUUUAGUCAGCAGUAUUUUUGUUGACCUGUACCGACAUUUAAAAGUAUCGCUAUACACCAUUUUUGUUGUAGCGAUUCUAUACUUCUGUGAAAAUUUUUAAUAAAAUAAAUCAAAACGUAGGAUGAUGAUAGUUUCAAAGUCAUUGAAUUUCUAUUAAAGAAAUACUAGUACAAAAUAGCUAAAAUAAAAAUAGCAAAAAUAGCUCUUGAAAAUGAUAAUUUUUAAUCACCGAGAGCCAAACAACUCAUGUAUCUUUACAAAAUAGCUAAAAUAAAAAUAGCAAAAAUACAUACUCUUAUAAAUACCCACUUUUUCACUUUUUUCAUGACUUAAAAAAAAUCUAAAUUUUACCCUCUCAAAAUUUUAAAUUAAUAUACUUACCUUCCCUAUUCAGGUUAUGCUGCAAUAAUUCGGUCUAUUGUUUAUAAUUUAUAAUUGGAUAUAUCUACCUUCCCUAUUCAGGUUGUGCUAUCAUUCUGUCUAUUGAAAAUAGAUGGAAUACAUAAAGAAAUUAUUUUUUUUCUAUUGAACAGUAAAGAUAGUUUUGUUAUUCUGCUCUCUCCGUUAACGUCAUAACCUUCUGAAAACAUUUUCAAAUUUUAAUGAGGGAGAAAAAUAUAGAUUUUUGAAAGUAAAAAAAACAGUAAAAAAACGGAUAUUUACGUAAAGGUGUUCUGCAUUUUAGCUUUAAAGAAUUAUUAAUAAAAAAAAAUUGAAUAAACCUGGUUACUUUCAGCCAGUACUAAUUAAGCGACUAACCUCAGUCAAUUUAUCUGUUAUUAUUAAUUUCAGAAUAUUAUUAAUCUGAUCAGCCAUUAAGUAAAUUCAACAAAUUUUAGGGCUAAAUUAAUGUAUAUAUGGUUAAUUAAAACAACUAUAAUGUUCAUAAAGAUUAUCUAAUUUUCUGAAGUUUCAAUAACUACCUGCAAUUAAACAUAUAUUUAGCAAAAUCUGUAAAAUAUUAUAGAUAAUUAACAAUUCAUUGAACUGAUACAUGAUGGUGGUAAGCGAAUUUACUAAGCAUGCAAGUAUGCAACUGAUGAACACAUCUGAUUUAAUGUGCAGGCAUGGAUCACAGAAAUGGCUGCUCAUGUCAAGUCCAUUGACAGCAACCACAUGCUCGAAAUCGGGAUCGAAGGAUUCUACGGCGAGUCGAUGCCGGAUCGUAAGCAAUUCAACCCCGGCUACAAAGUCGGCACCGAUUUCAUCUCCGACAACCAGAUUCCUGGGAUUGAUUUUGCCACAAUUCAUGCAUACCCUGAUCAGUGGUGAGCACUUAAUCCUGCAAUUCGAUCGAUUUGUUGCUCUAUAAAAGCUUAAAUUACUAGAGAAUGAUAUUCAAUGUACAUAUUCUAUGUAUUGGGCCCGAAAAUUUUAAAUGCUUUUUUUUUUUAAUUUCUCUUCUAAUAGUAUAAAAUAAUGGUGAGAACUGUCCAAAAGUACGUCAAUUUUUUCGGCUUUUUAAAAUAUAAAAACAUGUUAGUUUGGCAAUACAAUAUACCUCAACUAGAUCUAAUUGGUUUUGCUUUUGGAAAUUUAUGUAGGGAUUUAUUGUACUUGCCUUGUGAGAUAAUUAUUUGCAUCAUUCUAGGGAAAGAAAAAUUGAAAAAAAAAAUCCACCAAAAAUAACAAUAAGGAAACACCAAUGCUAUCAUAUUUCUUCUUUUUUAUCUCUCAAAAAAAAAAAAAAAAUUCUUCUUUUUUAAACUGAAUAUAAAUCUUGUGUUCAAUGUCAUUUGUUCUUUACCAACUAAAAUUUUUAUAGAAAACUAGUUUCUCACUUAAUACCAGAAUUUUCUGUUUUAGAAAAAUUAAAAAUAAAAUUUGCUCCCUUCAUAAUUGGGUUAAUUACAUAUGAAAUUGUAUAUACUUAUUGAACAUAAGAGCAUAAGAUUUAGUUUAUUAUUGAGAUUUUUUUAAAAAUUAAUUUAGCAUUUUUUAAUAUAUAUAUAUUUUUUAUAAUAAUGCGAAUGGAGUGCACCCUAAAUCUACUGAGCUCAAAAUGGAUGGAACGCAGGAUCUCGGGCUCGAGCGACGGAGACCAACUCGCGUUCGUGCAAACGUGGAUCCGAGCCCACGCCCGCGACGCGGCGGCGGUGCUCAAAAAGCCGCUCAUGCUCACGGAGUUCGGCAAAUCGUCGCGGUCCCCGGGCUACACCGUGGGCGCACGCGACGCCUACUUCCUCGCGGUCUACGAGGCGGUCUACGCCUGCGCGCGCGGCGGUGGACCCUGCGCCGGCGCGAUCUUCUGGCAAGUGAUGGCCGACGGGAUGGCCGCGUGGACCGACGGCUACGACGUCGUUUUUUCGCAGAGCCCCUCCACGAAAAGCGUUAUUGCGCAGCAGUCCACCAGGAUUUCGAACCUAAAUGUCCCUGCUAGUAAUAAUAAAUUUGUUGAAGGGGGUUUCGAUAAUUUGGUGCGAGGGGAUUAGUUAAUUGAGUAAGUUACUCGAAAUAAAAACAUCAAAGACUCUAAUGUACUUUUUUUUUUUUUUUGUAAUAAGAAGAUAGGGUGGUUGAUCCAAUGUGGUAGGAUCAUUAAUUAAUAAAAGUGAAUGAGGAUGCACGGAGCCACGGAGUUGUAUGAUCACUGGCACUAUUUGAAAUAACUGAGUGCUCAGAAAAGUUUAAUCAGCAGGAGAGUAACAAUUUGUCACAGAAUUUGCUUAUUUUGGCGCUCAAGUUUUUCGACAGAUCCUGACGAUUUCGAAACAGAUUGAUUUUUAUUUUAUUUUUUUUUUACCCUCAUUUAUCACUUUAUUCGGGAUCAGUUGGGAUUAGAAUGAAUCUUUGACAAAAUCAGAAUAUAUCUGACGGAAGCUUCACUGAUCCAAAUCAAUUUGCAGCCCUACCCAUGGGGUCUUUUUUGUAUUUUUAUUUUUUUAAUCAUUGCCUGUAGGUCCGUUGUCCUAUCUCCCAUCCAUCCCAAACUGAUCUACUGCUAGUACGUAUCAGAUAAAAUUCCUUUUUUUUUUUUUUUAUAAAUAUACAUAUGCAGAAUUCAAAAUCUUUUAUCAUUCAGAAACUCGAUCUAUACCAUAAGAACCACUGUACUAGAAAAAAGUUUUUCCACCUAUGCAACUUAUCAUUAGGAUGCCAGUGCAUGCCCAAGGGCUCUCCCUGCUCUCAUCAGUUGUGGAAGCAAUUAAAGUGUGUGAGAAAGAUAUAAAAAAGAUAUUAUUAAUGAGAUAUACAGUACAUCUACUGGCCCCAUUUUCUUGAAAAAGAAAAAGAGAAAGGAAAAAAGAAAAGUACAGCUGCAUGCAAGAAAUUUCAAAUGAAACUUUUUUAGCAACAUUUUUGGUGCCAGCUUCUUCUUUCCAAGAAGAAAACAAAAGACAGCUAAUUAAUACAUAUCUUUUUUGGUGCAACUUCACACCACAUACAUAUAUAUUUGCUACAUUAACAUCUCCUCCAAAUCUUCCUUCGGAGGAUUUUCUUUAGGGCCAAUACUUUAGCUCCAUGCACUCUAAAACAAAACCAAUAAAAAAAAAACUAAAAUAAAACUCUCUUCUUUUAUUUACAACUUCUUUGAGAAAAUGUAUUCAAGCAAGACACAAAUAUCUCUCGUACCUUUUGGCCUAUAAAGCUACUAAAAAUUUGAUCCUUGCACCUUCACCGUAAAAUAUCUUUCUAUUAGAUCAGUCCUUUCGGAUAUGUUAUCUUCAAUUGUUAGAUCGUUUCACACGAAUUUUAAGAGAGAAACUGCGCCUGAAAAAGACGGAUCUGAUAGAAUUUCAUUUUCUUUAUCCCUCGUACCAUGCAUGCAGUUCAGUUGCAGACUUUUCCGCCGCGCUGCUGCACCGCCGCCGCCGCCGCAGACACGCCCAUCCACGGCGGCGCGCCGAAUCCCAUCUUCAUGGGCCGGCGCUCGUCGACGCCGCACGCGUCGCCUUCCUCGCACAAGCCUCUCUUCCUCAUCCCUCCCUUAUUGCCCUCCCCCACCUCAAGACCUUUCAAAAUCACCCCGAAGAGUUUGAGCUUCCCCUCCUUAGCCUCUUCUUUCCGUUCCACCGCAUCCUCUCUCUCCUUCGUUGUCUCCUCCGCCGCCGCGUUCUCCUGCAUCAAAAGGUCGAAGUUGAGCCCCCUCACGUCCACAAACUUCGAUAGAAAGCCGAGGAGCUCGUCGCAUUGCUGCUUCGCCUGCGCGAGCUCGGUGCUUAGGAUCUGGUUGUGCUUCUUGAGCUGCUCAUUCUCAUGAGACAGUUGGGCUAGUUUUUGAGUUGGCGGCGGCGGCGGAGAAGGGGAGGAGGUGGAGGAGGAGCUGUGGACAUCGCCGGAGUUGGUGACGGAGGAAGGAGGGAAAAGUAGGGGAGGAGGAGGCGGCAGCAACUGCGCGCUGCAGCCGGAUGUUCCGGGCUGCGGAGAUUGGGGCAGCGGGGGUGCCGCCUUGCGGCGGCGAAUGCUGGAGAGUAGGCCUUGCUCUCCCCGCCGGAAGCUCUCGUUCGCGAACUCCCACCUGUGCGGCACCACCUUGCGGAAACCCUGCAUAUAGAGAGACUUCAGAUUCUUACGUCUGCGAUAGCUGAGAAAUUAGUGAAUAACUACUACUACUACUNAAAAACUUUCUGUACAGAAAAAAAUGGCAGCUAAAUUCAAAGCGCCAAUUUCCGAUUAUUUUAACUGGCCGGCCAAAAUUAUUAUUAUUAAUAGUAUUAAAAUGGAUAUAUUCUAAUGUAAUAUUGAAUUUCUAUGAAUUAUUUACGGACUUUGCCUAAUUGUAUAUAAAAUAUAUCAUACUAAUCCAAACGGUACUUCUAAUUGAGAGCACGUUUUUCAAAUUUUGAACCAUUUUCUUUCAAAAAUGUUUAUGUUGACUUUGUUGUCAAAUACUUCAAGACAAAUAUAACCCAUUAUAAUAUUAAAUUAAAUUAAUGCUCUUUCCCCCAUCAAGAUAGCGGUGAGGAGCAGUUGCGGUGGGUCAAAACAGUGGAAAUUGCGAUUGGAUCUCGCACUUCAAUCAAGUCGCAUCUUAAUCACAGUUUGACUCGUGACCAAAUGUGUGUUGCUGAGUCUCAGAAAGCGACAAAAACAUUUAUAAACCUUUUUGCUGUUUUCAUACGUUAACUCUGAAAGCAAGGUUUUCUAUUUCCCCUCGCUCUUCUUUGGUGGACUUACUCUACAGCGGUCACAUGUGUUGUUGUGACUUGUGACCAAGUAAAACACGUACAGCUGAGUCUCACUAUACCCAAGACUCAAAAAUUUUCAUUUGAAUAUUUUGUACCCUUUCAAGUACGAGAACUUAACAGACACAAAAAAAAAAAUCUCAAUAUAAAAAUAUUUUUUAAAAGACGCUUGGAAGAUGCGUUUCUAAGCAUCUAUAUAAUAUAGCAAAUAUCAACGUUUUGAAAAAACGUCAUUAUAUAAAUUUUUUAUUGUAUCUAACUAAUUUAUUAAAUAAUAAAUAUUAUUAUUAUUUUUAAUUUUUUGACGUUUUAAAAUAUUGAUAUAUAGAUAUAUACGUAGCGACUUUUCAUUUGCGAACACUUUAACUGACGCUUUCAAAUAAGACGCUAGACUACAUAAAACGUACUUAAAUAUUAAUUUUCUAGUAGCGAGGAUAUUCACGUUAAUUAUUUCAGUCAAUUUUUUUUUUAUCAUUUCAGGCAUGCAAAACACUUAACACGAAUGUGAGAGGAGGUUUCAAGGCUAUUUCUGACUCUAUUUUCUAUAACAUUAUUUUUUAUUUAAGUGUGUGCGCACAUUGACCGUCAUAUAUCAAUAAAAGAAAAACCUUUCGUGGAGAGCUUUUCAAUAAAGCCUCAUUGAGCAGUUUCCGAUUCACCACAUCAUACCAGUUUUGUCUCAAUUCAAAGGUUAUAUAUCCUUCCGUAUAGAAUUUAUUUUUUUUUUAAUAAAUAGUAUUAAAAAAUAAUCAAAUAAACCUUUGAUAAUAGUAAAACCGACACGUACGAUAAAUCAGGAGAUUCUCCAUCGAGUUGUUAUUGAAGAGCUCCCCACUAAAAUUUUAUCUAAUACGAGAGAGCUGUACUCCGAAAAAUCUACAGCAAAUAACUCUAAUUUAUAUAAGUGUAAUAUUUUCCGCUUCUAGAAUACUCCACAACCAUGGUAAGCAAAAGCCAUUUUCGGUGCAACAGCGACUUUAGAAACAGUGGAUGUAGCAGGUGUUGAACUAACUACCGCAAAGAAAGGGAUAUAAAAUAUAAUAUUAGCUUAAAUUAAAUCACUUAGACUCGAAGGACAAUUCACACUUGAUGUGUACUACGAAACUCGUCCAUUUUUAGGGGAAUGUUGUGACGUGCCAAGAACGUUAGUAUUGCGUGUUACCUUCGUGCGCUCUAAUUAAGUUUCUUUAAUUGUAGUAAUCAUAAUAAUAAUAAUAAUAAUAAUAAUAAUAAUAAUAAUAAUAGUAAUAGUAAGGGGCUUAUAUUACUAGCUUUUUGGAUAUAAAAUAAUAUAUGCAUUCCAAAAAUUCACGUAUAUGUAUAAACUUGAAUAAUACUACAAAUAAUAAUAAUAAUAAUACUGAAUCAUUCAUUUUCACUUUAUUUGAUGGGGCUUGAUUUGUUUAUUCAUGAAUCAUAAAUAUAUAUAAUGACUAAUAAGGAAGCUAUAUAUGAUUAAACAACUAAUACUACAAUUAAAUAGGACAAAAUAAGAGAACCUUUUAAACUGGAUUAUUGACCAAUAUAAUGAAGGGGAAAUGACUAUACGAACUAGUUUGCAUUAUUACCUCACUGAACUGCUAGCGAUUUUAAAUAAAAUAAUGAAAGAGAAAAAAAGAAAAAGAAAAAAAGAAGUAUAAAUAAGGAUAGCAAUAAAAUUGGAUGCAUAUUUUUAAAACUACACAUAUAAAUGGCUCAAGAAGCAUGUAUGCCAUACAUAGAAAAGAAAAAUCCUUAAAUAUUAUCCAGCAAAUCCAAUAAAAACUAAUUAAAAUCGAAGAAGGGUGAUGUGUCAAAUUUAUAAGAAUCUAUUAGUGGGCGGUGUUACAACAACAUCACUAAUAGGUGAUCCUGUGACAACCUAAAAUGUUCGUAAUAUCAUUUAACUUAUUUACUUAAAAUAUUAUCCCAAACACUAAUAACAGCACAAUUCAAAUUACAUAAAAUUUUAAUUGACAAUUUUACUUAACAUCAAAAAUAAGAUUAAUACUUCUGAUUCAAAAUUUGAGUAUUUUAUCACUCUUUUUUAGAUUUUUAUUUUCAAUCAUCCGUUUUUAGGCUAUUCAUUCAUUAGACAAACAAAGUCAAAAAAUUAUAAAAUUUAAUUUCUAAAUAAUUCUAAUAGUGUAGAUCAUAUCUGCCGAAACUGAUCAUCGAAUUAAAUAUCCCGUCAAUAAAAGCAGCUUACAAAUACGAACGUCUUUAUACUUUAUACUUUCGAAAGUAUAGAAGCCUAACUCCAUAAAUUCAUUCUAUAUAUGUAUAAUAGAAGUCUUCUUUUCCAAUCCAUAUCAAAACAAGCUAGAAAAAGCAACCAGGAGAAAGACUUCGUAAAACAACCCCAAAAAAAUUUUUUUUUUUUAAAAAAAAGCGCUUCAAAAUUCCUAGCUAGCUAGCUAGUUUAUAAAAUUGUAUUUUGAUCAAAUAAACCAACCUUGAACUAGCGAUGAAAUUAAUUAAUUCGCGCAAUUCCAACCUAGCUAGGCUUUAGAAAAUAAUAAUAAUUAAUAGUGAAAUUGAAAUUGUAACUCACGUAGGUGUUGAGCUGGCGGACGAAGGAGGAGAAGUUGUUGUGCUUGAAGUGGAGGGGCAGCAGGUCGCGGGCGAACUCGACGGGCUUCCAGACGACGAACGACCGCCCCUCCUCCCCCCACGAUAUGACGUCGUCCGUCUCCGCCGCCUCCACCAUCUCGUGCGUCUUCAUCAGGAACGGCGCCGGCCCCGAUCCUCCCGACCCCGAUCCCGAUCCCUUCCCCUUAUGCGUCAUCUCCUUUUUGUAUCUAUCUAUCUCUAUCUCUAUCUCUAUCUCUAUCUCUAUCUCUAUCUCUAUGUAUCGCCGAUAAUCAAUUCACUAACUAAUUAAGAAUCGAUCGAUUAAUAAGAUCGGCACGAGAAGAGGAGCAAAGCGGUGAGAAAUUCCCAGCCCCAGCAAUAGAAACCACUGAUCACGACACAGUUGUUAGCCACGGCUCCCUCCUUUUCCAUGUUACGAAAAAAAACUCCCCAAUUUUAAUCUCGAAACACUAGUAGAAAAAUCAGAGCCAUGGGAGACCGAAGCGAGAGAGAGAGAAAAAAAAAAUACUGAGGAAUCGAGGGUCUACGCGAUUUAAAUGGAGGGGGAGGAGGAGAGAGAGUGCGCGAAAAGACGAUUUUAGCCUCGCCUUGCUUCCGGAGUUGGGGCCAGAGUGCGGGGGUGGUUCGGUCAUUUGGCGAAUAUAAGAAGCUUCCUCAGAGGCCGAGAGUCGCCGGGCCGUUGGGUUUGGACACGUGUCGAGCAUCCGACGGCUUCUGCGGUCCCCCGAACGCUUCUUGGUUGCGGGGGUCGCGUCACCGUACCUUGGCCGUUUCUUGAGGUUUAAAUUGAGAAAGGAGAAAAGUAGAAGGGUAAAAGUGUAAAAUAAAACAAAAAAGUGAGGGGGGGAUGAAAUGAAACAGGGGAAUGUGUUAUUACACCUACCGCGAGGACCACGGACACUGGCGUCGGUCUAUACACCGGGUUCACGUAACAAUAAAUAUUUUCAGAUAAAAUUAAAAAUGGUUAAAUUUUAUUUUCAAUAAUUUAAAAUGUAUGAAUAAUUUCGGAGAAUCUUUUUAUCCAACAAAGUUGAAUAUUUUAGAACCAUUUCGUGCCUGAUAAAUAAGUUUUCUAAAAUUUUUUUGUUGGACAAUAAAAUUAUUGAAAGGUGUAAUAUUAUACACUAAAAUGUAGUUUUAUACGGUGUUAUUUUAGUUGCAUUAUUAUAGUAAGGAGUACUAUAUUAGCAACCUUUCCGUAUUACUUUUUGUAAUAAAAUUAGGAACAUAUAACUAGAUAUUUUGUUUCUAAGGCUCAAAUACCUUAUUAAUUUAUUUGUUACUAUCUAUAUAUUAUCACUAUAUCGGAAGUAGAUAUGUUUAUUUUACUAAAAUAAAAAUGAGCACAAUAAUUUUCAACCAUAAAGACUCACUUUUAUUGUUUGAUUCAUAUUAAUUGCACAUUCGGUCAAAUCUCAAACUUUUCAAAAUAUCUUAAUUAAUUUUGGCCCAGUCAGAAUUGAAGCCAAUUAUGCAAAUAUUUUUCUUUUUUGAAAGAAAUGUAGCAUAUUAUCAGUUUUAUUUAUUUCAUUUAAAAAAUAAAUUUAGCUGAAAAUAUGAAUUAAUGAGAACUUGAAUUUGAGACCUCGGGUAUCAGCCACCAAGUCUUUUACCACUUGUACUAGAGACAAUCGGUCCGAUUAUGCAAAUGUUAAUCAUGAAAUGCUUUAUUAGUAUUUUAUGCCGUUCUACUCCCAAUAAAUAAACAGCAGAAUUAGAAAAACUUCAGUUCGACAGCUAUAAACGAAACAGCGAAAGAAAAUUAAUUUUUACGUAAGUUCUGAUUUAUCUAAAAUCUAAUUUAAUUUGAAUGAAAUUUUUGGUGAAACAAUCGGACACGAUUUCCUCCUGAGCUAAUUGAAGGCAGAGAGGGGCUUAUCUGGCAAAUUUUGGAAAGUAAAGGGGUUUUUUAUCAUUCCCACCGAUAUAUUUGACUUGCAACAUACCCAUUACCGAAUUAGGUUAGUUACUUAUGCCCACUUUCGCGCCAACUGUUACAACAUCAUUAAUCUCUGGCAAAAAUGUUUCCAGACCCUCGCAACUAUUUUAUUGGUGAUAGAGUUGAAUGUCUUCCUAGGGUUGCGUGGUCCUCACUCGAUUACAGUAUUUAAUCCAAUAGUUAGAAAUAAUGAAAAGAGUUAAUCUAAAGGCUAAAAAACUGAUAGCAAUAAUGAGAUUUUGCUACUAAUAAUAGUCCAGUCCAACUAUAUAUAUAUAUAUAUAUAUAUAUAUACACACGUAUAUUCAAAUUUGGGUCUGUCGACAAACUUAUUUUUCGGCGGAAAAAUUAGCGUCCAUUUUUCUCUUUCCGUACGAAAAAUUUUAAAUAUAAGAAUAAAAAUAGAAAUAGAAACAGCAAUGAAUACAUAAGUUCUCUAUAACAGAUUACUAAUGUGAAAAUCCUAAAAUAUAAAUUUUUCUAUUUAAUUUCAAAAGUAAGUUUUCUAUAACAAAUUACGGGUGUGAAAAUCCUAUAAAAGAUAUUUUCUUAUUUUAUUUUAAAAUAUCUUUUUUAGAUAUUAUCUAUUUAAUUUCAAAAUAUAUUUUCUUUUUAAGAUAACGGAUUUUAUUUUUCUAUUUAAUUUCAAAAAUAAUUUUUGCAUUAGAGAUUAUUGUUAAUUAUUUAUCAUUUAAAGCAUAUCUUUCUUAAUAGCGUGAUUUAUUAUUUUAAACUUUUUAGAUACAUAUUUGGCAAUCAAAUAAAAUAUGGCCUAAAAUUAAAAAAUAAUUUAAAAAAAUUAUAAAUUUUUCUAAUAAUUAUUACGUGCAUUUGCACGUACAUUUUACUAGUAUAUAUAUAUAUGAGUUGAGCUAGAAUACUAUCGAUAGCAAACGGGCUUCGUUGCCACCCAUUUGUUUUCGAUGAUAAAACCUCCAAAUCGACGAUCGGAAUCAUUGAACAUGAUCUAUACCACUUGAAGUGCUUAGUAAUCAAAUUUCAAAUUUUUUCGACAUUAUUUGCCUAAUGAUCAAAGGGUUUCAAAAUUUGUAAUUUUAUUGAUCGAUAUGAGAUGUUUUUUUAUUUAACGCCGUAAAGAUAUUUAAAUCAAUUGAAUUUUUGUUAGAAAAUUCUUUAAACUAUUUAAAACAAGAUCUAUACUCUUGAUCUUGAUUAUAAGACUCCUAUCAUCAUUUUUUAAAGAAUAUUUAUUUUCAGCCGUUCAUUUUUGUGUCCACUCGAUGGAUAAGAGAACAAUAUCGAAAAUAUAUGAAAUUUGAUUUCUAAACACUUCAAGUGGUAUAGAUUAUAUUCAACGGUGCCGAUCGUCGAUUUGGAGGCUCCAUCAUCGAAAACAAAUGGGUGGCAACGGAGCCCGUUUGCUAUCGAUAGUAUUCUANAGAUCAUAUUCAACGGUGCCGCUCGUCGAUUUGGAGGCUCCAUCAUCGAAAACAAAUGGGUGGCAACGGAGCCCAUUUGCUAUCGAUAGUAUUCUAGCUCAACUAUAUAUAUAUAUAUAUAUUCUUACUGAGUGUUGCUACUUGCUAGUUCUACAAUAAUUCUGUUAGGCUUAUAAUCUUUUACAGAUUAGCCCAUAUAGAAACUAUAAUUAACACACUUGUCUUACUAUUCUUUUUUUUACUAAAAUCAAAUUUUUUUUUUCAAAUCUGAUAAAUAAUACGAAACAAUUAUUAUAGAAAAACAUGUUUAUAUAUUUUUUUAUAUUUAUGUCUCUCCCUCACAUCUCCUGCUCUGAUAUCAUAUUAAAUAAUACGAAAUAACCGAUAUACUCUACUCGUAUUAUUUAACAAAAUUCUUAAACCAUUGAAUUAAGGAUCGUAAAGAAUACAAUUUUUUUUUGGAUUGUAAACUUAGCGUUUCCUAUUUCUAUUUGAGAUUUUGUAUUUGGUGUUUUUGGUUUAGUUAAAAAUCUUGUUAAAUUAAGUAACUUUUUAAUUAUUAAAUAAUUUUAUGUACUAAAAAAUAACUAAAGUUAUUAAAUUUGAUAAAAAAAAAUUUUAAUUUUUCGACUAAAAUUUCUUAGUUCUAAAAAAAAAUAAAAAGUUAAAGAGAUUCGCAAUUCGGAAAAAAAAAAAAAGUGUCUAGCCGUAAUUUUAGAACGUUUUAUAUAUGAAGGGGGUCUUUAUAUAUUUCUAUCUAAAUUUAUUUUCGAAAAUAAAUACUUCUUGUUCGUCAAAAGAUAAAAAUUUAUAUAAUUUAUAGUGAAAAAACAUGAUGUUGCGCUAAGGAUACGGUGGAUAUAUAAAUAUAUAUAUUUCUUACUUUAUGGUGUACCGGAACCAAUUACGUUUCUAUCGUUUCUUAGAAAAGGAAAAAGAAAUAAUAUGUAGACUAGUAAAAACGCUGGUGUAACGCCUCUACGCCAUCACCUCGUAAUAAUGACACGUGGCGUCCUGGAUGGAGUCCACGCUCUCGGGGCCCACGUGUCAGUGUUGGUGACAGUGGCAUGUGAUGGUUACAGUGAAGAGCACGUUGGUGGAUUGGAUUGACAUUUUAGGCUCGGUAUUUGUUUUUUUUAAGUUACUGAGAAGUUUCCAAACUGGUGGAGGGUACUCCUCGUCAACAAAUUCAAUUUGUCUCGUAAUGUUUUAUUAUUAUAUUAUAUAAUCUUCUUCUUCUUUCUUCUUUCUUCUUUAUAAGUUUCCACCGGAUUUAUUUUAUUAUUAUCUAGGCCAAUUUGUAUAAACAAUUUAUAAGUUUUGAAUUUUUGUAAAAUCAAUACCUUUUUUUUUAUUUUGCAGAUACUGAUCGAAUUUUUAAAAAACUGAUCAAAAUACUUUUAUUUUUUUCUUUGUCUUUCUUUUUUUCUCUCUCGUUUUUUUUUUCUCUCUUUGAGAGGUGAAGGCGGAGGCGGCCCGCCUAGCCUCUGCUCCCCGCACCCUCGCACGCAUCCGCGCACCACUCACCCUCCUCGCCUUCAACCGCACCAAUGGUGCGCUUGCCGCCGCCCUGGUGGGACGCCCCUUCUCGCCUUCGUCCAAUUCGCCCUCGCCCGCUCCUGUCCUCCUUGCCUCCGCCUUUCGAAGAGGGAAAAAAAAGAGUGAGAGAAAAAAAAAAGAGAGAGAGAGAGAGAAAGGAAGAAGAGUAUUUUAGUCAAUUUUUUAAAAAUCUGAUCCAAAUCUGAAAAAUCAAAAAAGGUGGCACAAUUUUGCAAAAGCUCAAAACUUAU